rnacentral:lncRNA from 1 species
UAGAGGCGCCUCUCGGAUCCUUCUCUACCUCCCUGAUCUUCAGAACAAGAGACCGGGUGGCUAGGCGUUCUCUUUGAACCUACGUUAGCCACCCUCAAAACUUCUUCCACCCUUUACACCAUACCUGAACUCGUUCGAGACGAGAAGGAUUUUAUCUUGCCUGAACUCGCUCAUAGGCGAGAAGGUCUUUAACUCGUGCCUCUACAUUGCCCCAGGGGUUACAUCUCCUCUCCCCCAGAAACACUGAGGACUUUUCGCUGGUGCCUCUACAUUGCCCCAGGGGUUACAUCUUCUCCCCCCCAGAAACACUGAGGACUUUUUACUGGUGCCUCUACAUUGCCCCAGGGGUUACAUCUUCUCCCCCCCAGAAACACUGAGGACUUUUUACUGGUGCCCCUACAUUGCCCCAGGGGUUACAUCUUCUCCCCCCUAGAAACACUGAGGACUUUUCACUCUUCCUCGCCUGCACUCGCUCGACGGCGAGGAGGUCUUUAUCUCGCCUCAGGACGCGCGAGGGCGUUGAGGUCUUUUAACUAGUGCCUCUGAUCGUCGAAAGACGAUGAGGACUUUAACUUUAACUGGUGCCUCCGAUCGCCGAAAGACGAUGAGGACUUAUAAACUUUNNNNNNNNNNNNNNNNNNNNNNNNNNNNNNNNNNNNNNNNNNNNNNNNNNNNNNNNNNNNNNNNNNNNNNNNNNNNNNNNNNNNNNNNNNNNNNNNNNNNNNNNNNNNNNNNNNNNNNNNNNNNNNAAAUCACAUAUAAGUGACAAGGUCUUUCUUCAAAACUUUGGAAAACAGCAAGCAUGCAAUCUAAAACAACCUUAAGCUUCGAAAACUCUUCUUUAUUGGGUGGCCUCAUUAAAAACCUUCCUUAGGGAAAAAAGAGUGCCCCCUUCAAAACUGUUUUAACAGAGACAUUGUAGUAUAACUUCGUGUUUGUCUUUACAUACAAAGUUCUCAACUGUAAUACAACUUGAGGUGCGUGGCGUUCCAAGUGCGAGGAAUCGCCCCUCCUUCCAAUGUCUCUAAAUGGUAGGCGCCAUUCCCGAGCACCUCGGUUAUUCUGAACGGUCCCGUCCACUUAGGCGACAACUUAUUCUCCAUCUCGUACUGGUGGGCCUUCCUCAUCAUCAGGUCGCCUUCUCUGAACUGUCUCGGCAUCACCUUCGAGUUAUAUCUUCGUUCAAUCCUUCUCUUCACCGCCUCAGCUUUUAAUCUCGCCUCUUCCCUGACCUCAUCCAGUAGAUCCAGGUUCAACCUUCUCUCCUCAUUCGAGUCUUCCUCCACGAAGUUCUGGAAUCUCGGCGAGCUCUCCUGGAUCUCCACUGGAAUNNNNNNNNNNNNNNNNNNNNNNNNNNNNNNNNNNNNNNNNNNNNNNNNNNNNNNNNNNNNNNNNNNNNNNNNNNNNNNNNNNNNNNNNNNNNNNNNNNNNNNNNNNNNNNNNNNNNNNNNNNNNNNNNNNNNNNNNNNNNNNNNNNNNNNNNNNNNNNNNNNNNNNNNNNNNNNNNNNNNNNNNNNNNNNNNNNNNNNNNNNNNNNNNNNNNNNNNNNNNNNNNNNNNNNNNNNNNNNNNNNNNNNNNNNNNNNNNNNNNNNNNNNNNNNNNNNNNNNNNNNNNNNNNNNNNNNNNNNNNNNNNNNNNNNNNNNNNNNNNNNNNNNNNNNNNNNNNNNNNNNNNNNNNNNNNNNNNNNNNNNNNNNNNNNNNNNNNNNNNNNNNNNNNNNNNNNNNNNNNNNNNNNNNNNNNNNNNNNNNNNNNAUCGGCAGCGGGAAAGGUCCCAGGAUGUCGAUUCCCCAUGUAUGAAACGGCCAAGGGUUGUAGAUCGACUUCAACUCCUUGGGAGGCGCCUUGUGCCAAUCGGCGUGUUGUUGGCAUUGUUUGCAACACUGCGCAUACCUCUUGCAAUCUUCUCUCAUUGUUGGCCAGUAGUAACCUGCACGGAGAGUCCUUGCGGCCAGAGCUCGACUCCCGACGUGGCUUCCGCAUAUCCCUUCAUGGAGCUCUGCCAUAAUUCUCGUGCAUUUCUCGCCAUGCACACAUUCCAGGAGUGGGUGAGUGAACCCAAACCUGUACAACUCGCCAUCAAUAAAUGUGAACUUGCUAUAAUUCUUCUUUAUCUUCCUAGCCUCUGUCGGAUCCAGCGGGAGAAGGCCAUCUGCCAGGCACCGCUUGUACUGUGUUAUCCAGGUGUCUGGCUCAUGGGUAGCGCAAACCUGCGUCAUGCUCACCUUCUCUCCCUGACAUGCCCUUAUUCUUGGCGACCUCAAGGUCUCUUGAGUCAAGGAUUUAUGACUCCUCGCCGCUUUCUCCGUCGACUUGCUUAUCUGAAGAACCAGGUGAUUUGCUACAAAUGCUCUCGGCGUCUUCAGAGUUUGUUGAAUCACCGUCCUCUGCCUACCCCCCUUGCCUGAACUGGCGAGCUUAGCCAGCAAGUCAGCUCGGGCAUUCUGCUCUCUGGGCACAUGCACCACUUCAAAGGAGGCAAAGGAACUCUUCAAUUCCUGUACAUACUCCAGGUAAGCCGCCAUUUGUGGAUCCUUAGCCUGGAACUCGCCUGUUACUUGCCCCGUGACUAGCAGCGAGUCACUCUUAGCCAUCAGGACCCUUGCUCCCAUAUCUUUGGCCAGCAAGAUCCCGGCGAUCAGCGCCUCAUAUUCUGCUUGAUUGUUGCUGGCUUUGAAGGCAAACCUCAAAGAUUGUUCGAUCAGCACGCCGUUGGGUCCCUCCAAAAUGACUCCAGCACCGCUACCCUGCUGGUUCGACGAUCCAUCCACCGAGAGCACCCAACGGAAAUCGUCCCCUUCAACUCGUGUUGCCUCAGAUGAGAGCUCGACCACGAAAUCUGCGAAGAUCUGUCCCUUAAUCGGGCCUCGGAGCUCAUACUUAAUAUCAAACUCUGACAGCUCCACCGCCCACUUCACCAUCCUCCCAGCAACGUCGGGCUUCUUCAAGACCUUCUGGAUGGGGAGAUCGGUCAUCACCAGAAUUGUGAAACUAUGGAAAUAGUGGCGUAACCUCCUCGCCGAAAAUACCACAGCCAGUGCAGCCUUUUCCAGGGCCUGAUAUCUCGUUUUGGGGCCCUGCAACACCUUACUAACAAAAUAAAUAGGCUUCUGAGCCUGAUCUUGGUCCUGGGCGAGCACCGCACUCACCGCCCUCUCAGUUACAGCAAAAUACAACCUGAGAGGUGUUCCCACCAGCGGUUUGCACAAAAACCGGCGGGCUCGCCAGAUACUCCUUCAGCUUGACGAAGGCUUCCUCACACUCCUUCGUCCAGGCAAACUUGUUAUUCCGCCUUAAACACUGGAAAUAUGGGUGGCCCUUCUCUCCGCUAGCUAACACGAAGCGAGAUAGGGCGGCCAUCCGACCUGUGAGCUGUUGUACUUCCUUCACCGUGGCCGGGCUCCUCAUCGCCAAGAUGGCGGCACACUUAUCCGGGUUGGCUUCUAUUCCUCUUUCAGUUAGGAGAAAUCCCAGGAACUUUCCAGCCUCCACGCCAAAGAUGCAUUUCUCUGGAUUCAGCUUCAAUCUGAACUUGGCGAUCGUCGUGAACAAUUCCUCCAAGUCCGCAACGUGCUUGCUUUUCUCUGGCGAGGUCACGACCAUGUCGUCCACAUAUGCUUGCACAUUCCUUCCUAGCAUCGGUGCAAGUACUCGAUCCAUCAACCUCUGGUACGUGACCCCCGCAUUCUUCAGCCCGAACGGCAUCACCUUGUAGCAGUAGCACGAUCUCUCGGUCAUGAAGGCAGUCUUCUCUUCAUCCAUGGGAUGCAUCUUGAUCUGGUUAUACUCCGAUAAGGCAUCCAGGAAACUCAACAACUUGCACCCUGCAGCACUAUCCACCAGGGCAUCUAUGCUCGGUAAAGGAUAUGAGUCCUUUGGACAAGCCUUAUUUAGAUCAGUGAAAUCGACGCACAUGCGCCAUUUCCCGUUGCUCUUCUUCACCAGCACGACAUUGGCCAGCCACUCAGGGUACUGGACUUCCCUGAUGUGGCCUGCAGCGAGGAGCUUCUGGGUUUCGUCCCUGAUCGCCUGCCUCCUCUCCUCGUUGAACUUCCUUCUCCUUUGCCGCACUGGUCUCACCAAGUUGUCCAUCGCCAAAUGAUGGCACAAGAAGUCGUGAUCGAUCCCGGGCAUGUCCGAAGCGGACCAUGCAAACGCAUCCAGAUGCCGUUCUAUCACCUUGGCGAUCUGGUCCUGGAGCUCAACCUCCAGGGAUCAUCCCAGCUUGAAGAUCUUUCCCCCGAUCUCUCUCUCGAGCCACUGCUCGACGGGUUUUGGCCUGGUUUCUCUGGUGAUCACCGCCCUGGCGAUUCCCAGCUCUCUCGCUUCCUCAGGGCGAUUCCUCGCCUCUUCUUCCUCCAGACCGGCGUUCCCCUCCCCCAGCUCAGCAUCCACCAUCUCUACGUCUCUUCCGGCGAUCUCUUCUAUUACCGUCGAUCUGGGCUUCACACCGGGAGGCGGGGUGGUUGUUACGUAACUUACCGACCUCUUGUUUUUCAGGCUAUUCUCAUAGCACUUCUUCGCUUCUUUCUGGUCGGAUUUGAUGGUGAUCACCACCCCCUCCAUAGACGGCAACUUCACCUUCAUGUGCCGGGUUGAUGGUAUGGCGCCUAUUCUGUUGAGCGUAGGCCUCCCCAACAGAAUAUUGUAUGCUGAAGGAGCGUUCACGACCAGGUAUUUGAUUUUUUCUGUUCUCGAACCCGCCUCAUCUGUAAACGUAGUUCUCAACUCAAUGUACCCCCUGACCUCCACCUGGUCACCAGCGAAACCGUACAAACACCCUCCAUAGGGCCUCAGCUGGUCAAGGGGCAGCUCCAACUGCGUGAAAGUCGGCCAGAACAUCACGUCUGCCGAGCUUCCUUGGUCCACCAGAACCCUGUGGACCUUUCUUCCUGUUGUGAUCAACGAGAUGACUAUGGGAUCGUUGUCAUGAGGCACAACGUCCCGAAGAUCUUGCUUGGUGAACGUAAUGUCCACAUCCGGCGAGUGGUCUUCAAACAUAUCCACCGUCAUUACAGACCUCGCGUACCUCUUCCUCUGUGAUGCGAUGCAUCCACCUCUCCUGAGAAACCCCCUGCAAUGGUGUGGAUUUCCCCGUGUGUAGGCAUCUCGUGCUGCUGAGCCUCAGCACCGGCUGGCUGGGAGCUUGACGCGCCCCCCGUCCUUCUCUCCAGCAAAUAGUCAUUUAGGAACCCGCUCUUGACCAGAUCGUCGAGCUGGUAUCCUAAAGCCAAACAUGAAUCCACGGUGUGGCCAAAGCCCCGGUGAAACUCACACCAGGCGUCUGGCUUUGGUCCCAGAACCUUGUCGCCUACCUUCUCGGGCGCUUUCAACCUAGCUGAUAUGUUGGGAAUGGCGAUCAGGUCCGCCAAUCCCAUGACAAACUUGUGCUUAGGCGGGCGAUUGUAUUCCCGGCGUGCUGGUUGUGGGCGUCCUUGGCCCCUGCCCUUGUUCUUCCUUGGAUCAUAAGGAUGGCGAGUCCUCUGAUCCCUUCUGGCCGCCGCUGUCUCUAGCACCCUCUGUGGCUGGAUCCUGGUCUGGGCGCGUGGCCUAGCGGGAGCCACGCUUCCUCUCUUCUCGGCGACUUCACUCUCGUCGGCGAUGUGGGCCACCGCAAGUCACCUAACCUCAGCAAAUGUGGCGGGAUGGGCCCUGAUCAAUGCCUCGCAGAAUGGUCCCGGCAGCACGCCCUUCUUGAAUGCGUAGACCAGCAUUUCCUCAUCUUUGGCCGGCGAUCUGACCAUCUGCGCCCCAAAGCGAUUCAAGUAGUCCCUGAGGGACUCUCCCUGAUAUUUCCUUAUAUCAAACAAAUCGUAAGACACCCUGGGCGGUGCCUUAUUCACGAUGUACUGCUCGACGAAAAUCUUCGAGAACUGUUGGAAGUUGGUUAUGUGACCUGUAGGCAGGCUGACAAACCAUUCCAGCACUGUUCCCUGGAGUGUGCUCACGAACAUCUUGCAGUACACGGCGUCUGAUCCUCCUGACAGCAUCAUCUGCGUAUGGAACGUGGUGAGAUGAGCCUCAGGAUCCUCCACGCCAGUNNNNNNNNNNNNNNNNNNNNNNNNNNNNNNNNNNNNNNNNNNNNNNNNNNNNNNNNNNNNNNNNNNNNNNNNNNNNNNNNNNNNNNNNNNNNNNNNNNNNAGCCUUAACAGGUACCACACUCGCAGGAAUAGGCGUGUCAGUAAUCGCCUGAGCGAAAGGCAUAGGAAAAACACGGGGCGGCAUCGACGGCGCGACCUCUUCAGCAAUAGGACGCCCUCGCUGCUCCUGAAGAGCUUGACGCAACUCUUCAGUCCCCUUGCUAAGCUCAUCAUUCUUGGCCCGAGAGGCGACCAGGUCCUCAUGCAUUCUCGCCUGCUCUAUACGCGAGGCUUCCACAUUCGCCUGCAACAAACGCAUGAUUUCCACCAUCUGCGCCAUAGUCAUGGCGCUGGCGUCUUCAGCAGCAACAGGCGCAACUGGACUUGAACGGUUGCUUCUCAUUUUUCUCAUGAAACUCGACGAAUCACAGAGUGCAACGUAUCAACACUUCCUUCAACGACGAUCGAUUCAACGAUCAAUCGGUCAGAACUUCGCGACACUUCGCAAGAAAACUCAAGAACACAGCGAACCUCCACAGAAACCUGCAACUCCACCAGAAACCACCGCUUCUCCCACGAAAAACCAAUACGAGCCAAAAACUCAAAUCUCACCGAACAAAACUCGCGUAAGCAGGAAAAAACUUCCCCUCACCGAACAAAAAUCCAAACGAACGGUGGAAAACGCGAAAUCACCGAACAAAACUUAGAUAACAGCGAACAGUGGUUGCACCAGCACACAACCGCGCAGAAAACUGCAAAAACCUCCAAGAACUCACGCUGUGGAUGGGAACAGGUUUUACACGGCCCCACGGUGGGCGCCUGAUGAUCCUGCCUGUUGACCAAAAUGUUGGAGCUUGCCUCGUCAAACUUGGAUCGACGUAUGCACCGCUUCAACCUCCGUCCUUCGUCACGAUCCACCUCAAGAACCUGCAAAAGAACAUAGCGGCGCCGCUGCGGCCGAUCGCACUUUAACGCCCAAGUCAGUGACUGAACCACCAAAUACUUCAAGAGUAACACUCAAGAACUGUCAAGGAACCGUGAACCAGUUCUCUCUCAUAGUAUACUCAAGAACUUGCAAGCGUAAAGAAUACAAUCUGAACGUGCGUCCCUCAGAAGUUCGUUGGGGAACCCUUAUAUACCUGGGCACUUUCUCUCUCUCCUGGCAGUUACACACCUGGACACGUGGCUCGCAUCCAGCUGUACACGUGCCAUCAUCUGGAGCCUCCUUGACUUGGGCGCUGCUUCUGACUCUCUUUUGGCUAAGUUACUUAUGCAUGAUACUACUCAGUGCAUAGCUGUCCUGGAGUGCGAUCUCUACUGGAUUGGCGAGCUAGGGUGCCUUCGUACACACCUUCCCUGUGGUCUCGUCGGCCGCCUUCAUAAUCUGCACCACCUUCAUCUUCAGCGAUGUGCUUGCUCUGGCGAUCUCUAAUCACUUGGUCACCUGAGUUUACAUCUGGCGACUUCAUCUUUAACCCGGUGACCGCCGGUUCUGGUGUGCUGGAGAUCGGAGCACGCCAACUUAAUAACUGGCGACUACACGAGCCUCCUGACCUCCUUCCCUUCUGCCAACCUGGCGUCUUAUCAACACGCCUAUACAAUAGCUUGAUGCCACGUCAUCACUUCCGACUACCAGGGCGGUACAAUAACCUUUAGGAGGUUUUUGAAUAUCAUCCGUAAACUUUUUAAUCAAAUAUGUCAAGUAUUUAGAAUGUUUAGGUAAUGAAAAAGAAAGGAAGAAAAACACAUUUGAGGUGAUGUGAUGAUACCCGUGUUAUCUUGUCCUUCAUUUUCUCUUUCAUUUUCAUUUUCGGUUUUUGUUUUAAUUUGGUCUUGAUUUACUUCUUGUAACAUUGUGGUUCUUUUAUUUGGACAAUUGGCAGCUAUGUUCCCAUGACCUAAACAUUUGAAACAUUUUGUGCUUGAAGUUUUGGUGGGUGACUUGGGGGUAGAGGUAGAAGGAUUAUGUUUAGAAACUUUUUGGUGAGAAGUGGUUUCUUUUGAAAAAUUGGAAGGAGAAGUUUUUGUAUAAUUUUUGUUUGUAUCCUUCCAUGAAGAUUUGUAGAAGCCAUGAUUAUUAGUAUUUAUGAAAGUUGUUUUCUUCAAAAGUUGUGAUUCCACCUUGGUGGCUAGGUGAAACACUUUCUUUAAAGAAGAGUACUCAUAUAAUUCUACAAUAUCUUGAAUUUCUCUCCUCAAACCACUUACAAACAUAGCUAUCUUGGACUCUUCAUUAUCAUGCAUAUUAAUUUUAGUCAAAGUUGUUUCUAAGUCUUUAAAGUAUUCGUCUACCAUCUUAGGUCCUUGAUGAAGGCGUUGUAGCUUCAACAAGAUUUCCUUCCAAUAAGGAGUAGGAACAAACCACGAGCGCAUACAUGCUUUCAAAUCAUACCAAGAGACAACGACUGACCUCUUGUUUAGCCCAAUGUUCAUUACAGUUUGUUGCCACCAUUGGAUGACAUAGUGUAAAAAAAAUAGGGAAGCUAACCUAACCUUUUGGUCCUCGGUGACCUUAUACACAUUAAAGAGAUGUUCAACUUUAGCUUCCCAUUCUAAAUACAAAGUAGGGUCAUUGGACCCAUUAAAACUAGGUAACUUUACAAAAUCAAAAGAAUGUUGUGGUUGGUGUUGAUGGUGCCGUUUGUCAAAAUUGUGCACUCUCCAAACAUGUUCUUGACUCCCAUAGUGCAUGGAAUGUCUAGUUGCUAUUGGCAGCUCCCAUCUCUUUUCUUGAGUUUGCCUUGCUUGAGCUUCUUCUAGUCUUUGCAAUCUUUUUGCUAUUUGGGUUUCCUCGUCUUUGUGGACCAUUCGAUUCUUAACUUCCACAAGUUCUCCCAAAAGGUGGGCUUUGUGAUGUGAUUGUGGUUUUUAAAUUCACUUAAAGAAAGAUGAGUCAUAAUUCACAAGUGAACAAACAAUUAGUGAAAUAAAAGUUAGUAAAAAGACUCUCAAGUUUGCGUGACUUUUGGAGAGAACACUCAAAGAAAUUUUUCUCCACUUCACAAAGGUCUUUCUUGAGGUUGAGAACUCUCAAAUGAAAAAGGUCAAAGCCUUAAACACUUGAUCUUAAAGGAAGCGACCACAAAACUUGAGGAAAAGAAAUAAGAGACGAACAAGAAAAGCUUAAGCAAGAAAAGCUAAAUCAAAUUUGAGAAAGAGAUUAUGCCAAAACUUGAAGAAAGACAAACAAGAAAAAGGCACACAAAAAGGACUCAAAGAUACUGAUCCUGCCGGCAACUCGAACGUGGAGGAAUCGCUUUGUAGCGCUCUCUGUCUCGUCUACGCGACUGCGUUCUCUGCAAAGUCACCCUCAGAACCUUCUCUUGAUGCUCCAAACGUGACCUGCAAAACACACAGACGGCGCCUCUAGCGGCCGUUUGCACUCCGACGAUCAAGUUAGACCACAGAACCACCAAUGAGAAAAACUAGUAGUGUGUGUGAAAACUCUUGCUCUCUAAUUUUUCGUAUCCCCUCAAUCUCUCCCUGAUUGUCUUUUAUGUCUCUCUCUCUGCUUCUGGGCAUAACAGAAUUCUGUUAUGCUUUUCUGGCAUGUGUCAGAACCCUGUUAUGCUUUUCAGAGACAGUGUACCUGCAGAAUCAGUAGAGUGUGGGUGUCUGUGCAUGUCCGCGCGUCUCUGCGCUUGGCUGCGCUUGUCUGUACCUGUCUGUACCUUUAGUGGUACGGAGUGCACCUUUAUCUGGACCGCACCCCUCUCAGUUGAUGACGCGUGGAGGCAUGCGACUCGCAUCUAACCACACACGCGUCACUUACUGGAAGGGAUCUAGCGCCUCUCUUUGCGUGCUAAGUUAUUCCCUUGUGGAGUAACUUAGCAUAUUUCUUUCAUUUGGGUAAAUCGCAUACUCUCAGGAGAACGCCAGGUGUGGCCGGUCUAGGCACACUCACCAAGCGUUGCUCUCUGUGUAGACGACUUACCCUUCACGCACGUAAUGGGUUGAGGGAGUCACCAAUCACUGAUCGGUUUACUAGCUCCCUCAGGCCACUCUCAUGCGCGAUUCCCUGAGAUGUGCUCAUGCGAGGUCCAUGUGUAACGCUCUCGCUGGGAACCUCAGUCCCAGUUUAACUGCGUGUAACACGAGACCCCGAUGACAAUGCACCCGAUGACUGAUCAGUGCUCUAUUUGCUUCUCGCGUUCUGCCCCCAGGCGUGAGUCUGGGAACUGGUCUGUUGGUGGCCACUUGGCUACUGACCACCGAUCACCGUUCUGGGUGAUAUGUCCCCUGACCUCUCUGCCGCCUGAUCUGUCGAUGGUCACUUGGUUACUGACCCCCGAUCACCGCUCUUGGCGAUCGCCUCCCUGGUCUCUCUGUCACCUGGUCCACGUGUCACCCUGCGAGUGGUCCACGUGGUUCUCUGCUGCUGACGUCAUCGACUACCGAUGACCGAUCGGAUCAGAUACUUACUAAAAUUUUAACAAUGAAACAUUUUCUUUAGAAAUUGCUAAAGCAAAAGGAUAAUAAAUUCCACUAUGGUUGAAAUUAAUUUGCCAAUCAAGUUGAAUCCAAAUUUGGAAAAUGUUUUUCUUUAGUAAUUGACACCACAAAUUUGCGUUUUCAUUUUUUUUAUACUAGUUUUUGAAUUAUGGAAAUGAAAUGUCCAUACUUUUUAAUCAUGCAUAAUUUCCAAUAACUCCAAUUUUCACAAAAAUUUUGGGAUUCUACAUAAUUGAACACUUGAAAUCUUUUUAUUUGGAACUUAAAAUCUACUUAUACUAAAACAAGUUUCUAAUUACUUCUCAAACUUUUAAAAUUAAAAGCAAAGUAAAUAGAAUCAAAGUAAGGACUCCUAGAACACUAAUAAACAUAUGACUCAAAGAAAAAGACAAGAACACAAUAAGACCUAAAAAAAAAUAACAAUCCAAAAGUGAAACAAAGCUAUGGAAAAUAAAACAAGAAAAUUGCAAGGAAAAUAAAAGGCUAAAAAUUAAAUUGCAAGAAUGUAAAGACAAAAAUUUAAAGGUACUUGAAUUUAAAGACAAGAAAUUAAAGGUGCUAGAAUGUAAAGUACCAAUCAACUCAAAGCAAAAUAAGCUCAAGAACCUAAGCUCUGAUAACCACAUGAUAUGAGUUGAUUUUAGGAUUGUUUAUUUUAUGGUGUGACACUUUACUUAGAUUGAGAUUUUAGGAAUAUAAGAGUGAAGACCUUAGGAAAAUCCCCACUGGAUAUUGAUAUUAACUUAACCAAGUGGUUAAGUAGAUGUGAAGGUUCAUUUCACAAAGGCAAAGAGCAAAAGACAUUGAACAUAAAAUGGUGAGAAUGGAUGUAAAACUCAAUUGAUAAAGAUAAAACCGAGAGCAAUACAAUAAAGGAAACAAAAACAAUGAACAUAAAAUGGAAGGAAAAUAUGAAGGAGAAUGGAAGAAGGAAACUUAUGGAAAAUGAGAGUGAUGUUCACGACACUUGAUGGGUGGUAACCAUCAAGAUCAGUGGAAGACCGCCACUUGAGAGCUUCAUUCUCAUCAAGAUAAGACAAAGGGUGAGGAGAUAGCACUCACUCAAGCUCACACAAUAUUUGUGCAGAGUAACUCUUCUUCUAUUAAUUUCAACUUGUAAAAUACAAUGGGUAAGCCUCCUAUUUAUAGGUGAAGGAGCCUGGGAAAACAAGCAAGAAGGAUAGGAUGGGAAAAGGGGAAAAAUAGGCAGCCUUAGGGUUUGACUAAGUCAAACCCGCAUCAUAGGCUCAUCCUUCUAGAAACUAGGUCAAAAUGUCUUCCUAAAGGGUUAGGAACAAGCUAAAAUGACACCUACACUCCCUAUCAUGCUAAAGGCACCUUAUUCUAGCCUAUCUUUGUUAUUUGGACCCCUAAAGUGAGCCCAAAUUAUUUACAAACAAAUUCUAUUUUUUUUAAGAAGACUAAAAGGAAGAACUUCUGAUAUUUUGGUUUAUAGCUUCUUCUUAUUUUUUUUAUUCUAUCUCGAGGCUUGGUGGGGCCUGGCUUUGUAUCUUGAGAUGACUGGCCCUUUUGGGAAGUGCUUGUUGUGUCCUUAGUCAUUUGUCGGUUUGUAUCACUCUGCAAGACAGAAAAGCAAAGGAGAUAAUGGAUCACCUUAUUUAACACUUUAUUACAAGGAAAAAAAACCCACCAAACUACCAUUUAUCUUGAUAGAAAGCAUAGCUAAACGAAGGAUUGUACUAAUCCAACCAACAAAUGAGGGAUGAAAACCAAAGCGUGUCAAAACUAAUAAUAAGAACUUUCAACUCACAGUGUCAAAUGCUUUAUGAAUAUCAACUUUGUAAGCCACAUUACCUCCUCUAACCUUUUUAGAAAGCAUGUUAAUAGCUUCAGAAGCCAUAUCAAUACAAUCCUGAAUCUAUCCACCCUACACAAACCCAUAUUGAUUAGGAGAAAUGAUUCUAGCAGCCACAAUUGCAAGCCUAUCCGCUAGAAUUUUGGAAAUAAUCUUAAAUUUGAAAUUAGCAACAACAAUUGGCAUGUAAUCUUUAAUGGAAUCAACACCCUGGAUCUUAGGAAUAAGAGAUACCACAUUGUUGUUCAUUCCAGGAAGAACCCAUUUUUGUUUAAAAGACUGUUGAAAAGCUUUGCAAACAUCCGUCCCAAUAAUGUCCCAACAAGAAUGAAAGAAUACAUCAUCAAAACCAUCCGGACUAGGAGCACUAUUACCAUUAAGAUUAAAAACUGCAUUUUUAAUUUUCAAAGAAUCCAGGCAUUUAAUCAACAUAAUGUUCUCCUUAAAGGAAACCAGUUCAGGAAUACAGGAAUAUAAGUACCAAUAAACUCUUCCAUACUACCUGUAUCAUGAUCAUUAGAAAUAGACACAACAUAAAGAUUUUGAUAAAAAUUCAAAAUAUGAUCCUCGAUGAGUUUAUGAUCAUCAAUAACCUCAUUAUCAAUUUGUAGGUGAUGAAUCCCACUAGAAUUAUUUCCCCUCUUUACCACAACAUGGAAAAAGUCGUAUUUCUAUCCCCAUCUUUAAACCAUAGCAUCUUGGUCAUCUCUUUCCAAAACAAAUAUUGAUAGUGAAAAGUAUGUUGUGCGAUGCUAAACUGAUAAUAAUACUGAUUUUGAGUCAGUUUUUAAUUAUUUGAGUCUAUUUAUCACCCACGUUAUUUUUCAUUUUUCUUGUAGUGCUCAUCUCUAAGCAUUAACUCGUGAGAUGUUUAUCUUUUAUCCCAUGAACUAAGCGAACAAGAGAAUGAUUACAACUAAAUGAACUACUCAAGAAUUCUAAUUAAAGAAGAGAAUUUAAUCAUCAACAAGCGUUCAAAAACAACUCAUUAACAAAAACCAAAAUUUAAAAAUAUCAUGCCUUUCUAACACAAAACUAUAUCAAAUAAAUUUAAGAAUAAAAUUUUAUUAAACAGAAAAGUCAUAAUUUAUUACAAAAUCACAAGAGAAUCAAUCUAAAGGGGUUUAUUCUUACAUACAGAGGCAAAACAAAAUAAUUACAAAGAAAAAAAUAAAAGAAAACCCUAAUGCAUUGUUUUUUUAACGCCAUUUUGAUGAUUUCUCCUUGUAUCUUUUUAUAGGUUUUUCUGCUCCAAGGAUCUCGAAAAAAAUGGUUUAGAUUUUGUACACAGUUUCUCAAUUUCCAACUUUCCAAAAUUUUUGAUUUUUUUUUCUAUUUAAUCUCCAACUUUAUUUCUUUGUAUCUUCGCGAAUAAUUUGUUUUGAGAUAUUGUAGAUUUUAUUAUUUUAUUCUUUUCCUCAAAUUUCGUUUCCCGUUGUGAUUCAGAGAGACAAUUUGGAUUUUCCCGUCAUUCGGCUCUAGUCACACGUUCCUAUCUUUUUUUUUUAAUUUUAUGUUUUUAAAAUUUUAUUUAAACAUAUUUUUUUAAAUGCUUUUUUUAAAUAAUUUAUUUAAAAAAUUAAUUUCUAUAUAAAUAUUUUUUUUGAAAUAUUUUUUUAAUAACUUGAUUAAUAAAUUAAAAUUAACAACUUCUAAUUUUUACUUUUUAAAGUUUCUUUUCCUUUUAUAAAACUUUUUAUAAAAGUAUUUUUAAAUAUUUUUUUUUGUAUAAUCGAAGAUUUUAAAAAAACAUCAUACUUCCACUGACAUUCAUACAUAAACAUUUUACUUCCAAAAGACAUAUGCACUUAUUUAAACUCAGAGAUUUGCAUCUGUCAUACUACUUCUACUAUGAAAUCCACACAACUAUAUAUAAAAAUAUGAAUCCACUCAUCAUGUAUGACAAGAUUAAUCCAUAUGAUAUGCUUUAAUCAGUCAUAUUUCAAACCUCAUACUCAGUCAUAUGAAUCUCUUUCUACUUUUACCACCUAAUAAUCUUCAUCUAUAUGAUCUUCUAGAAGAAUAUCUAAUCAAUGCACAUCCUAAUCAUCUUAACAUGGUAUUUCUUUUCCUAAAAAUAUUAUGAAUCAAUUUCAUUUCCACAUGAUUCACAAUUCAUCUCAGUCAUUGAUACAAUCCAAGUCAACAAGGAGAUGACCAAGGACUCAAAUUACCAUUCACACUAUGAGAAGUCAUCUCAACUUUCAAGUGAAGACCCCACCAAUGAUCUAACAAACCUCACCAGAAGGAGAAAUGGGCAAAGACCAGAGCAUCAAAUGUUCUUCCUUUUGGUCUUCUUAAGAAUAAAACAUGUUGUAAAUAAAUUGGACUCACUUUAGGGGUCCAAAUAGCAAGAUAGGUUAAAAUAGGUGUCUUUAGCAUAAUAGGGGAGUGUAGUUAUCAUUUUAACUUGUUUUUCCUAGUUUCUAGAAGAAGUGGAACCAAAGGCAGCCCCUCAUACAUUUACCAUCCUAUCAUUGCUCAUCUUAUUUUCCAAGGCACCCAUUCCUAUAAAUAGGGUGCCUUACUCCAUGUAUUUUCAAGUUCAAUUUUGAUAUAGAAGGAAAACUCUGCACAAUUUGAGUGAGACUUGUGUUCUCUUAGCUUAGGUCUUAUCUUGUGAGAGUUGAGAGCUCUUCAAGUGGUGGCCCUCCACACUUAUCUUGGAGAAUCCACACUCCAAGUGGCGUGUUCUUCUCUUGUCCACCACCAUAAGCUUUCUUUCCUUCAUCUCUUCUUCCAUUUUCCAUUACACCUUUGUUCUUUGUGUUUAUGUUCUUGUUUUGUUCUUCCAAUUUUAAUUCGGUUUCCUUCAUCAUAUUUGUUUCUUUUAUGUCUUUUUAAUUCCAUAAUAUGCAUCAUCUUCACCAUAUAAUGUGUUUUUCCUUUUUCCUUUGGAAGUGAAUCUUCACACUUACUUAACCACUUGGUUAAGUUCGUGUCCAGUGGGGAUCCUCCCUAGGUCUCACCUUAUAUUUGCUAAAAUCCAAAUCAUAAACAAAGUGUCACUCUUAAAAUGGAUAAAUCUAAAAUCAACUCACAUUACUCAUCCACAUACCAUUCAAUCGCACAUAAAUUUAUACUUUUUAAAACUUUUAGAAAAUAUCAACAAUAAUAACAUAACAUUUAAAAUUUCAUAAAUCAAUUGAACAUAUAAUGAUUAUUUGCUUUACAUUUUGAUAAACAUUAGAUUUACUUGUUUUAUACACUUAAGUGCAUGAAUUGAAUAAAAUAUUAGCCUUUAGAAAGUUGUAAUCAUUUACAAUUUAUAAAAUGAUAAUUUGUUUAUAGGAUUUAAUUCCAUUUCAUGGAUAUAAAAAAGAAAUAAAAAAGGUAGUUGAGCAAAAAUGAAAAAUGCUAUGAAAAUGGCUUGAGCUCAGGAUGCAUGUGCUACGCCUAGGAUGUUAGCGCUGAGCACCGGGUGUUGGCGUUAAGCAUAAUGUUGGCAUUAAGCUCAUUUGGGGUAAAGAACACCCAAAAAACUCCCCUUAGCACAUGAAAAUUUUGUUGACUGUAUUUGAGGCUGAGAACUCCCCAAGCACACUUUAGCUCAAAUCCAUUUAGCGCAAGGAAAUUGUGAUGAGCGAAUUUGAGGCCAAGAGUACCCCAAACAGUGCAACCAAAUCUGCUGACGCAAGGAAAUUAUACUCAGCGAUUUUGAGGUCGAGGACAUGUAUAACACAUUUAAAAUUACAAUUUAACAAGUAAAAACCAAGACUUAACUUCAAAAUACACAUCACAAUCAAUUUCAAUCAUCAAUCACUUAUCCAAUUGUUUAGAAAUUUCAAUCAUUUUCAUUAAUUAACAUAUAUUUGAAUCAACAAAGCAAACCAUGCAAUAAUUUUGGAACUUGUGACCAUGUCACUUUCAUAUCCAGAUAACACUAACUUCCCUUACCUGAUUAAAAUGAUGACCACUCAAAAAAAGUUUUAACUCCUAAAGAAAACAUGAAUGACUUAACCUGCACCACCAAGUCCUAAUAAAUUAUCGGAGCACAUCACUAGGAUCAUGAGCUAACAAAGACUAAUCCUGAAGCCACAGACACUACAUGUAAAACAUGUCUAUUCUAAACCUUAAACCCUAAACAUAAAUAAUUGAUUUUACUAUUUAUAUUAUUUUAUUUUAUUUUAAUAAUAAAAUAUUCAAAUAUUAUUUUUAAUUAUAUAAACUUCUACUUUAAAGCUAUUUUCUAGUUUAUAACUUACAAUUUCAUUAAAAUGAAAUAUUUUAUUAAAAUAGAAGUGUUGUGUUUUGAAAGCGACUUUAUCUUGAAGUAAUGUUUUUAAAACACAACUUACCAAUUUUUUUGAUAAAUUUUCUAAAUAGUUAUACUCAUUUAAUAAAAAAUGGACAAAAUAAUAGUCUAUUAUUUAGUAAAAAUUGUACACGUUUAGUAAAAAUAUAUAUUGUAUAUUAUUUGAUCCAAUGUGAUAAUAUUUUAGUUUUUUUUAUAUGUCCACAUCCCCAAGCAUGGAUAUGGGUGGGUUCCAAAAUCUAUUUGAUUUGAGUGUAUUAUUGAGAAGAUUACUUGGCACAAUGAAAUCAAUGUUUAUUUGCAUUGAUAAAAGCUUUUAUCCAAUUAAGUAUACCUCUCUAACUUUGAUGAAUUUCAAACAUCAUCUUGAAGGUGUACCACAAACUAUGUGCCUUACAGUGUAACCAUUGCCUUUUUCACACGUAUUAAGGAUUGCCCAAAUCACACCUACUACUUGCUCGCUUUUCUUCCAUACCUUUCUCUUUUAUUUGUAUUUCAUGUAUUAUAUUAACUUUCAAUCAUAACUUUUCAUGAUUCUAUCCACAAAAGUACUACUAUAAAUGCAUGCCCCACUUUAUGUGCUUUGAACUUUUUAUUACAUGCCAAGUGGAAGGAGGUGUCUUCCUGUGAUUUUCGUUUUUCAGAUUAAACUUUCUUUACAAAAAAUUAUUACUAGUAGUUUUACAAGUUUUCUAACACGGACCGAAUACGAUUUCUCACAAAUUAAAUUCUUUAUAUAAAUAACUAGCAAAAAUACUUUCAUUUCCGUGUAUAUGUAUAUAUAUAUAUAUAUAUAUAUAUAUACAUAUAUAUUAUUUAUAUCUUUACUAUAUUAAAUAUAUAAGAUUUUAUUAUUUUUAUGAGUAAUUAAUUAAAAGAUAAUAUAUAUAUAUAUACAUAUAAUUUUAUAGUAUUAAAAACUUAUGGACAUUACUUAAAAAGUUUAUUUAGUUAUUUUGAAAUAAAAGAAAAUAUUCAUUUAUUUAUUUCAUUAAAUAAAUAAAUUAGUUUUUAUUUAUUGAAGGAUAAAAAUUAUCUAAUUGAAAGAUAAUAUUUAAGAGUUAUAAAAAAAUUGUUUUUAGAUAAUGGUAUAGGUAAUAAAUUCUAAUUUAAAACUUAAAAUAAGAAUAAGUUUAUUUAGAUAAGUAUUUUUUAAACGAGUUUAUUGUGAAAACAAAAUAAUCUUCUACCUGAUAAACAAUCCAAUCUGAUUACUUAUGUAAUAAUUAAUGAAUAUUUAUUAUUUCCUUUGUUAAAUAAAAUAUUAUUAUAAAUUGUUAAUUAGUUGUUAUUUGUAAAAGUUUCAAAAUUUUGAUCUAUUUGAAAAUAGUUUCAAUUCCAUAGUUAAUUAGAUUUUGUAACUUUAGAUUUCACAAAAAAUAGUUUUAAUUGAUAAUACUUUAUAUGAUUUAUAUGAAUGUAUUAUAAGUUAAUUUGUUUAGGAUACAAGUAAAAGAAAUAUUAUUGUUGAAGUAUGUAAGAAUAAAAGAUAUGUGUGAUGAGAGGAGACUACGAAGAGUUGGGUCGAGUUGAAUAUUUUCUUGAAGAGUUAUCACCUAUUUAUAAGUAUUCUUGAAUUCACAUCAUUAAGAAAAUAUUCAACAAUUAUUAUGAGAUGUAAAUGACUUUUAUACUAGUAUCUAAUAAUCACACUAGUAACCUAUGACUAAAUGAUUUGAUUUAUGUGUCUUAAAUAUUUAUUUAAAUUAGCAGCUAUUACUCUUAACGAAUGUAACUGUAAUAGAUGGUAAGUACAUAAGUCCCCCCAUCUCGAAAUCCAAUCCAAGAAGAAUUACAAGUGCAUCAAUUUGAAGGAUGAACAAGUUCGGGGUUGGACCUGUUUGGGUUUAGCGUAGGUUAACUCUUGAUUUCAAUUUCGAUUGGUGUUUGUUAAUCAUUUUGAUCUAACAAUUUAUAUUUUUUUUUACAGUUUGUACUCGGAAAAUAUAGUAAUUGGCAAUUCGGUUCAAGUUUGAGAAAACUUUUUUAUUAUCAUUUGAUCUUAUCUAAGUAUUGUUGAUUUGAUUACCAUUUGGUCUCGAGGUGCUACUUGACUGCUUAAGUUUGAAAAAAAAAAUCCCAAUGAUUUCGGUUAAGAACUAUUUAUUCGAUGAUUGUUUCUCUAAGAAUGUUGUUAAAUUGUUUGGUCUUUUAUUAAAUUUUUGAAGAUUUGAUCUUGUUUGAUCUAAGUAAAAGCGUCAAUCAUCUUUGAUAUCAGUUAACAAUUUAUAAUAAGUAUCAUUAUUAACAGGUUAUGUUUGAAAAUAAACUUUUAUUUCAAAACAAUAAACCUCAUUAAAACUACCUGAAAAAAUUCUCCUUAGGGAUAAAAAAUGAGUUGAGCUUUUGUCUAUCUAUUUAGGAUUUGUGGACAAGGGACAAGUUUUUAACCGAGGCCCAUGGUGGGCGCCUAAUGUUCUUAACUUUAUGAUCUUGGGUUCAAACCCCACAAUGAACGUCAAAUGUUCUUACAGAAAAUGGAGUUGGAGAGUUUCAAGGUGGAGAAGAAAAAAUUCACUACAAGCAAAUCAUUAAAUAGAAACUAAUUAACUAUCAAUUUAGAAACUACUUAUUAAUAAUAAAAACUACUUUAGAUAUCAAUAAUUUUGUUAGUCUCUAGAAUUGUAAGGAUCUAGAAAAUAACCUUAGAGUAGAAGUGGUAUAUUUUAAAUGAUACCUGGAUCUUUUAUUAUUAAAAUGAAAGGACAUAUAAAUAGAAAAUUUAGUUAUUCAAGUUUCAUUUUUAAAAUUACCACCAUCUCUCUAAAAGUUUCCUCUUUCCUUUCUCUCCCUUCUCUCUAAGAUUCUGAUAUCCUCACUUAUCAGUUUGGCGAUCGGAGUCUGCCAUUGGACUCUUGGCAGCGAAGACUAUAAGACUGCCCGAUCAGAAUCUCUGAUAGAUGUGGCGAUCGAAGUCUGCCAUUGGACUCCUGGCAGUGAAUCCUAUAAGAUUGUUCGAUCAAAAUCUCAGAUAGAGUAAGUUCAUUUUUGACCCCUUUUUCUUUUGAGUUAAUUUUGGUCUUAUUAGAUUUAUGCUUUGCAUAUGAUUCUUUUAGCUUCAGGGUUAAUUUUGUUAACAAAGGGUCCUAGUUAUAUAGUUAGAUUUUUAUCAGGAUUAUGUGGUGCAGGUUAAAUUUCCUUUAGCUUUUGGUAGAUUUGGAUCCACUAGUGAGCAUCAGCUAAAGUUCAGGUAAGGGAAGCUAGUUUUAAAUUGCCAAUAGAAUCCUAGGCUAGAAGAUCUGGAUGUGGGGGUGACGUGGUCACCAGUUUCAAAUUUUCUUGCAGGAUCUCUUGUUUUUGUGUAGAUUGGAAAUUGUUUGAGAUUGAAAUGAAAAAUUUAGAUAUAGUAGAUGGUGUAGAAUGUAUAUAAGUUUGGAAUUGAAUGAAUUACUGAAUGUAUUUGAAAAAGGUUUGUGAUGAUUUUUUUUUACAAUUUCAGAGCAUAUAUUUUGAUUAUUUCGUGAUGAUUCAGUUUAUGAACUAAAGAUUGUUUGUGACAAUUUUUAAAGUAAAUUGUGAGUUGAUUAUUUGGAGAAUUGCUAUGUUGAUUGUAAUAUGAAUUCUGGUGAUUUUGAGAUAAAUUAGUUAUUGGAUUUAACAAUUGGUGAUCAAACUUUAAUUUUCAUGUUGUGGCUUCCCCAUCCUUUUUAUUAAAUAAUGUUGGAUACGUGGUGCUAGGUAUAUGUAAAGUAAAAAGAAGAACAUUUAUUGUUCAUGCUCUUUUCUUUCAUUCUGUAAAUGCUAUACAAUGUUGGAUAAUACUUUUCUUUUCUCCUUUUGUAAUUGGUGUAACAAUCUUGCAAUAAUUCUAAAUAUUUAAAGUAUUACCAUACAUGUUGGAAUUAGUUCUUCUUUGUGGAAAUUUGAAGAAGUUGAGAGCUGUUGGAUAUAGUUGUAGUUGAGAGAUAAUUUUCUUUCAUUCUCCUUUUAUUGUCUCUCUUUUUGGAUAGUAAAACUUGAUGUUAUUUAGAUACACUUUGGAGCCCUUUUGAUUCAAGACAUUUAUAUGAUUUGUAAAUGAAUUGUUGUGUGUUUUGGAAAUUCUAAAAUUUGGAAUGAUUUGAUUGUUUGAUGUUGGAGAUUGUGAUGUUUAGAAUAUGAAUUUUAAUCAAAACAUAGUAUUUUCAGGAAAGAAAAUAUCGUUUUAAGAUUGUUUAGGAUGUGCAUUGACUAGGGAUUUGUCUAGAAUGAGAUAUCCUGACUCUCCUGAGAUAAUGGAAUCAUAUAGAUGAAGUUAUUCAGGUGGUGAGAGUCGAAGGAGGUUCAUAUGAAUGGGUAAGUUGUUUGAAAGAUAACUAACUUGACCUGUUAUAUGAGUUAACCCUGUCAUACUAGGAGAGAUAUGAUAUUGAGAUUCUUUAUGCACAUAGCUGUGUGGAUUUCAAAGUAAGAUAGUAUGACAGGUGCAGAUCUUUGAGUCUAAGUCAACGCACGAGUCUUCCGGAAGUAGAGUCAAGUGUCUAUGUGUUGUGAGUUAGUAGAAGUCUGACAAAUGAAAGAUGAAUUAUAUGAAUGUAAUAGACACUUGAUGGUUUGAGAAAUCAUAUGAGAAUUGAUGAAUUAUGCUUAUUAAUUUGAAAUUUAAAUUAUAUCAAAACUUUUUAUAUAGAUAGCUUACCCUGUUAUUUUUUUGUAUUUGUUUCUUUAUCUGUGAUGAUCGUAUUUUACACGGGAGCAAAUGAGAUUGCAGGUAAUAGAGCUCCUUAGUGAGCAGCUGAAGGAUGAAAUAGUUUUAUUUAAAUGCUUUGUUUUGUUGUUAAAACUUUUGAUGUAUAUAUUAAAUCCCUAUGAAGAGGGAUAUUUGUUUUGAGAUACACAUAUGAGAAAGUAUUAUAUGUUUAUUUGUAAUUAAAUAUUGCUUGUUUUACUUUUAUUUCUUUACAUAUGGGUAAAAUUAAGGAUGUUACAAAAAUAAUAUAUAUUUUAGUCAAUAUAGUGAAUAAUUAUUUUUUGUCUUUAAAAUUAAUCUAUAUUUAACAAUUUUCUUGUAGUGAUUCCUCUACAGAUCGAACUUUGUGGUGUUAAACGAUCCUAAGAAAGGGGGGAGAUCCAUUAGCAAAGACGGUCUAAUGCAAGAGUAAGAAUAUAAGAUAUUUAUAAGUAUAAGAGAAUAAGAAAAGUUUAUGCAAGUUGAAUACUUAUUUAGAGUUAUCACUUAUUAUAUCUUCUUGAAUUCUAACCAUUUAUAAUAUUAUUAUGAGAUAUAAAUAAUUUUAAUACUAAUAACCUAUAAUUAUUGGCCACCUAUGAAUGAAUUAUGGUCCAAUUUAUUUCUCUUUUAAAUACUAUAUUAAAUAAGUUUUUUUAUUGGUGUGGAUAUAUGAAACUGUAAUUAAGAAUAUGUACAAUUUCUAUUUUUUUAUUAUUGUCUUUUUUUUCUUUUUUUUUUACUGUCAAACUUUUCAGAGUCAAUCCAAAGAAAUCAUAAAAGUUAACUAUUUUUAUUUAUCAGCAAAUAAUAAAAAUAAAGUAAGAAAAAAAUACUUCUGUGAUAUUUUAACCCUUAUACAAUUAAAAAAAUUAACUAUUUUUAAAAUAUAAAUUACUAAUUAGUUUGAAACCUUUGUCUUGAAACAUUUAUUAGCUUUAUUUUUUUAUAUAAAAAAACCCAAUCCUAACCUAAGCCAUAGUCAAAUAUCACAAACUUGUGUUUCAAUAAAUUGUUUCGAAAUAAACAGAUAAACAUACUUAUAAUUAAUUUAUUAAAAUGUUUCACGUCAUAUUCAAUAAGUGGUUUUUUUUAAAUAACUUUUUUCACUACAAUAAUAUAUUAAUAGUUCAGAAUAUGAUUAUUAAGAAACGGAAUCCUGAACAUAAUUUGAUAUAUUUUUGUAAAAAAAAUAAUUAAACCGAAAUCUAAAUUGGAUUUUAUUUUUAAAUUUGUAUUUAUAAAUAGAAAGAAAAUAAUUAUAAAUUUUUAAAUUUUUUAAAAUAAAAGUAUUAUCUUGAAAUAAAUGUAAAUGUAAAAUUGUAAAAAUAAAUCUUAUAUUAAAAAAUAUUGAUUCAAUUUUAAUUUGUUUAUUUAUACAAUUACAUUUUUUUUAAUCAUACACAUAAUUAUUAAAAUAAUUAUGGUAAUAAUAAUAGGAUAAAAAAAUAGGGAAUACUGUUCUUUAUAAAAAAAAUAUUUUUAUUACUUAUUAUUUUUCUUUGAAUAAUUAUUUACAAAAUAAUUAUUACAGUUAUAAGUAUUUUAAUUGUUAUAUUUAUUAUUCAAAAAUUAAUAAUUUAAAUUAUGCAAAAAAAAAAUUUAAAAAUUAUUUCUUUUUUCUAUAAAAUUUUCUAAACGAAAAUUACAAAAAUAAACUAUUUCAAAAUUUAUAAAUAUUUAUUUUGUUAAAGAAUUUUUCGUAUUUACAUUUUGUCUAAAUAAUAAUUAAAUUUUUUUUUUUUAAAUAAUUAUUUCUUCGUUUUAUGCUGUGCCUUUCUCAUGUAGGCUACUAAUCACUAAUGAAGUUUGAUUCCUUAAAUAAAAUCUUAUUUCUAUAAUGGUUAUACAAUGAUUUAUAUAAUAAUAUAUUUAUCUGUGCUUUUAUUGCAUAUCGUUUAUCACAUCAUACUUUUAUAUAUGAGCUGGUAUGCUAGAGGGCAAAAGACCGACAAGCCCAAUGAUUUUUAGGAAAAUCUUUUAAGUAGUAAUUAAUUUUACUUAUUUUUUAAGAUAAUGAGACGUAAAUAUAAUAAGUAAAUAUUAAUAAUUAAAAAUAAAAUUUGAAUAUAAUCAAUAGAUCUAUUCUGAAGUGAAAAUAAGGUAAUGAACUUAUUAUACUCAUUAAGAUAAUUAAUGAACUCUUAAAAAAUGAAAAUUAACAAGUUUUGGAGUAUCUGCAUGUAACUCAAACCUAUGCGCGUCAUAAAUAAGAACAGAAUUGAAAAGCAAAGAGUAAGGAGUGAAGUGGUGGAAAGAUACUAGAUGUACCCUCCCCUACAUUUUGUGUAAGAGAAAUACAUAAAUACAAAACAUAAUGUUAUAUUGAUAAUCAGGCGAAUUUUUCAUCAAUAAUAAAAAGUCGUCUUAAAACUAUUUAAUUCGUCUUCUUCUUCUUUUAAUUUGCCGUGCGUGAUGAGAAGGGUCCAAUUAUUUCUUUAUUGGGCCUACGUCCGGUAAUGAAAAAUGGCAGAUUCUUUCUGCAUCCCUAUAUUUUUCUUCCUGCACCGUCGCAAUUUUUAAAUCCCAAAACUGACCUUCACCUUUUAUUUAAAAUCGGGAUCUGGGAGUGUGCUAUGGAUUCAUCAAUCCAGAGGUGAAUCAUGUUGCUUUCUGGAUAAUGGGGUGUUCUGGAUGUAAAGUUUGCAUAAAUUGUUAAUUUCUGGAUUGCUAAAUCUGGAAGCCUAAUUUCUAUUACAUAUUGGUGGAUCCAGAAUGAUUUUUUUUUUUUCAAUUAUAGAUUUAUGAAUUUCAUAUUUUGAAUUUAAGAUUGAUGGAUCCGGAAUGAUUUUUUAGUUAUGGAUGUUCUGCAUUUUUUUUAUUUUGGAUUAACACUGUCAUCAUGUACUAUCGGAAACACCAAUCCAGGAGGUUACUGGAUGCAUCAAUCCAAAAUUGUACCAGAAGCAUUAAUCAAAACUUUUACCAGAAGCGCCAAUCCAAAAAUUUACCGAAUUUCGUAAUCCAGAAUGCAAAAAAAUAAAUGUACAAUUUUUAUAUAAGAAUGAUUUUAUCUUCGCAGAACAUUAUUCCAAGAAGAAAAAUAUAGGGGUGCAGGAAGAAAACUGCCAUACAUGAAAAAUAUGGUUUGAGUUGGGCCUCUUUACGUCCUCUGGUAGAAAAGAAAACACUGUAUAGGUUAUUUUUCACUGAACCUCUAUAGCUUCUCCGGACAUCCUUAUUUUUCACGAAAAGACUAUUUUAUUUUUAAUAAAUAAUUCUGAAUUCCACAAUAUUAUAUUUUUUAUUUAUAUUUUUGAAUUCUAUAAUCCAAAAUAUAUAUAUUUUUCUUUAAAAAAAUAUUAUUUCAAAUUUAAAAUCUGAAAGAUAUUUUCAGAUCGAAUAAUAAUUUUUAUAUUAUAAAAUUCGUAGUAAUUUUUUAUUAUAAUAUAUAUUUUGGAUUAUAUAAUUUAAAAAAUAUUUUUUAAUAUGAAAAUAUCUUUUAAAUUGUGUAAUUAAAAAUAUAAUUUUAAAAUAUAUUUUGAAUUGUACAAUUUAAAAGAUAUUUAAAAGAUAUUUAUGAAUUUAAAAUUACUUUUCAAAUUAUACAAUUCAAAAUAUAUAGUAUAAUAAUUUUUUUUACAUAAUUUAUAAUUUGAUAUAAAAAAAAAUCUUAAUAUACACUCUCGAAAUGAUAAGAUUGAAAUUUAAAAAAUAUAUAAAAGUACAGGAGAGAAUUUGCCCAAAAAUAAAGUCUUAUUUGUGAGGGUGUAUUUUCAAAAUCACAAAUUCAACAAAACUAUUAUAUUAUGAAGAUUGAAUGUUCAAUGUUGAAAAGAUCUUACAUGAAAAGAAAAUUAUAAGAUUUCCAACAUUCAAAAUGAGUUCUUGUACAAUGAUAAAGAAAAAUUAUAUUUUAAACUUUUUCCUACUAAAAAAAAUCAAGAAUCUACACAAAAUGUUAUUUAAAAUCUCAAAAUAAAAUAAACUAUUAAAGUAAAAAUUAAAUAAAAUUAAGAUAUAUAAUAUUUUACUUGAUAAAAAGGCUAUCAGGAAAUAGGGUCAGAUCUCAAAAUAAAAUAUUACAUUAAAAAUGCUCUAACGCAUUAAAUUCAGCAACUUGAAAACACUUAAUAAAUUGUGAAAGAUGUAGAUUAGAUGGGCAUGUGAAAUAGAUAGUUGUGAGGUGAAGUAAAAUUAAUAUGGUUAGCCUAAAAAACUAACAAAUGAUGAAAUUGAUAUAUUGAAUGGAAGAUUCGAGGAAAACUCAAAUGAAUUUAUGUACCAAACAGAAGCUAAAAAAUAAAGUAAAGAUAAAAACAUGUGUUUUAGCUUAAUCUUUUUUCAGUCCAAGUGUGAAGUCGGUUUUAACUUUGGUGGAUGGUGAAGGAUCAAUGCCUACAACUUUCGUAAUUUGGACCCCAAGAGAGUUUGUAAUUAACGCAACACUUGAUUACUUGUGAAAAAUGUCCUCUUUUAGUAUAAUUAAAUAAAAUUACUUGAUUAGUCGUUAAACAGAUUAUAAUGAGAAUCAUUUGGGUAUUUGUAUUUGUCUUUUAAAUUGUUGAAUUGGUGACCAAUUUCAAUGAACCAUGGGAGUGGAACCCACACCAUAUCAAAGUAAGUAAUUUAUUUUCCACAGAAGUAUUAUCAAAAGCAAUCCUAAUUAUCACUUCCAAACACAUUACAUUCUUAUUUGGACUCAUUAUAUAUCUGUCCUUCAAAUUUAUCAUUCAUCCCGUGACAACUAGCGAUGAUAAUGUAGUAUGGAUUGUUGAUCUGUAAUUCAUUAUAAAAAAUGUAAGGGAGAUUCACUAUUUUGAUAUGCUGAUUUGUUUAGGUUUGUUUCGCAUCAUUCACAAUUUAUGUAGGCUUGGUACGAGGUGGAUAAUAAUAAAAAUGGUGCUUUUCUGCAGCCCAUCAAUUCUAGAAAUCGAAUUUCAUAAGCAAAAUAGUUGUUUUAGAUUCCAUAAGGUAAAAUAGUUGUUUUGGAAUAUUUUUUUCUCUCUUCUGAAUUUUCAUUUCCACAAUUCACUUUUAUGUUAUGGAAAUAAAAUUCCAAAAUUGAUGAGAUUCAAGAAGAAAUUUGAUGGACUGUAGGAAGAAACAUCUUAAUAAAAAGUACAAAAUUAUCUUCUCCAACUUUUGGUUCUCAUCAAUGUCAUGUUUCUAAUCACAUCAUGUGCUCUCAUGACUCCUGCCAUCCCAAACACCUUUUCAGUUCAUAGAGUGAUAGAAAUAUUAAGAAAAUGUAAAGCCAUUGAAGAAAUUAUUAAAUUGAAAAAAAUUUAAAGAGUUACAAAGUGGUCAUAGUUAUGCAAAUUGAAUAUUGUCACGUCAACACUACUACCAUGCAGUUUGCAAACAAGAUAACGAGUAUUUUCUCUAUAUAUUACAAAUAUAUUAAUAUUUUUUAUUUUUAAUAAAAUUUAAAUUUUUUUAUGCGGACUAACACAUAAGUCCAUGGACUUUCUCUUAUGUGGGACAAAUCAAUAGAAUCAUCCCACAUUAUUUCAACAGAAUGAGUCAACCCAACCCAAUUUUUAUGGAUCAAUUAAAACGAAUUAAUAUGGGACGGGUCAACCCAUAUUUUCACCCUAGUGAUAACUAUAUUUCUUUGUUAAGUUAAUGAAACUACUCUAACCACAUCAACUAGUGAAAUAAAAAGAUAAUAACUACAAUUUAUUGAAUAUUAAUUUUUUUUGACAUACACCUUAAUUAUAAAUAAUAUCAUUUGAAUAAUAAAAAUAAGUGAAAUUAAACUACUUAAUCAAGUUAUUGACCUGAUUUUUUUAAAUUUAUAUUUUUUAUUUUAAUAUGUUUUACAUAAUUAAAAACAAUCAUUAAGUUCUUCAAACAUUUUAAUAAGAUUUGUUCUUUUCAGACUCUAUAAUUAAAAAUAUUUAGGAACUCAAGAAAAAAAUCAAAAUAUUUUGAAUGAUUUAGAUAAUAAAAAUCAGUAAAAACGAUCAAACCUUACUUGUGUACAAUUAUACAACUUUUCGUAUUGUGAUAUGUUGUUAUGGAUCCACUCACAGCAUAGUUUUACUAAUUUUGGGUAAGUGUAUAAAUUUUUUAACGUACCUCAUUUAGUAUUAAGAUGAUGUGUAAAUUCUUUAAAAAUAAAAUAAGUAAUUUUUUUAUUGAAAUGUGUUAAAAGAAAUAGUUCAAAAAAAUCAUAGUUGUUCCUGUCGGUUGACUUGGUCGCCGGUAGACUUAUGCGGGCGAGUUUUGACUUUGUCUGCCUCUUCCUGGAAUCUGUGCUUUUCUUAGCUGUCUAGAUGUCAUUCCUGUUGAGACAGAGGGCACCCUAACAACCGAUCGCACUCCGACGAUCAAGUCAGUACAGGGCUUAUAAGAAACCAGAAGUAUAUAAUUUAAUGCUUAGUAAAGUGUUAGCCAAGCAUUAGAAACAACGUACCGUAACCAGGGAUCUUGAGUCCUUUUUAUAGAGUGUCGCUAAGUUACCUCUUGCGGUAACAACUUCUGUUACAAGAAUCUUAUCUUGAGUAAGGACAUAUUUAAUGAGAGAAGAUCCCGCUUCAGUGUGUGUAAUCUUAACAACACAACUACACAGAAUCUUAUCUCCUAGGAGUGUAUCAAAUCUUAAAAGAAUAACCACCUGGAUACCCACUUGGGUAUCGUUCCCCAGGAUCAUAUCUGUUUUCAAGUACAUUCACAUGCUUUGUGUAUAAUAGUACCAUGCAUAUGCCAUUACAUAUCGGCAUGCAAAUACUCUAUCAAGCCCUGUCUCGAUCAGUCCUCGGUCAUCAACUCAGAGACUGACCUCAGACAUCGCGCACCGAUGCUUGGUAAUGGAAGGGGACCACGUCAGGUGGGCCCCAGACGCACCUACUAGGGGAUUGGUUAGUCUUGUUGGGUUCAAUAGUGUCAAAGUUCAAGGGGGGGGGGUGAAUUGAGUUUUUAAAACUUUCGCACAGAUUCAGUUUUUAGCACAGUACAAAGAAAAUAAAUCAAUUUAUUUAACAGUGAAAAAAUUUAUUUUUAUACUGCUUAUGUAUUAAGAGUUUAUAUCAAUUGAGUGAUUUUUUAUUUUAAGCAAAUUGAUUCGCAAGCUACACUCACAUUGAUUUUAGAGAGGAACAAUGAAAAACAAAAUCAGUGAACUUCAACUUUUAAAGCAAAUGAUAAACGUUCAAUUACAAGCUUGACAGUUCAUACACUUUUUAAAAGAACCAAAACAGAUUUUCCAGAAAUCAAGAACAGAACGAACAAGCCCAGAAAGAACAAAUUUAUUUUUAAUUGAGUAGAUUCAAUUUCUGACAGAUUAACAAAUAAAGCAGUAAAAGAGUGUAGGGAUGAAGAGAAAUUGAACACACAACAAUUAUACUGGUUCACUCAAAUGAGCUACAUCCAGUCUCACCUAAUUCAAGGUGAAAUCCACUAAACAAACGGAUCACAACACUUACACAACCACUGUUUUUGAACCCUACAUUAACUUGACACACUUUGCUGAAAAACACUAUUCCAGCACACACAACUCUUCAAGAAACCUUAUCGAGAAGAGUUUUACAAUCACACUUUACAAGUAAUUGAGAUAUGAAAUGAAUACACCUGAUAGAGUAUGCAGAAAUCUGCCUUAGACCAGUAGAACAGAUUUCUCACACAGUGACAACACCUCUAGCCAAGCAUUAGAACCAACCAAGAACAAGCAAACUUUGUAAUUUGAAAAAUCUUUCAAGAACUCGUGCCAAUCCUCUGAAAUCUCUUUUGUCUCAGUUGUAAAAAACCAGUUUUCUCAACUAUCUCAACUCCAUUUUAAAGCCAGAACGAACUCUCUUUUUAUUGGAAACAUUUUAUAACAAACUUUCAAAAAACAGUUAAAACUGUUACAAAAAGAAUAGAUUGAAAAUAAAAUGAACAGAUUUAUUUUCAAAGGUAGUGAGAAAUUUUGUUAGAUGUAGGAGACUUAGUCAAACACCCUGGUGCAAGGAUAAAGCUGUGAAAAACCUUUUAAGAAAAACAUGACACCAGACUAAAAAGAAUCUAUUCAUUUAUAGAGGAUUUCAUUUUCAAAACGAUAACAAGAACUUUUUAACAAGAGAAACACCAUCGUUUUGAUGGAAUGAAAACUUAGUUAAGAUACUUGAUGCAUAAAACAUGAUUUUCAAAAACACUUAAUCAAGGCAUCAAUUGAAUCUAUUUAUUUAGAAAAGAACAGAUUCAUUUUCUAUGCAGUAAAGGAUAUUUUUUCAAAACAUGUGAAAAACAUUUUCAUAAAACUUGUGGUUGCUCUUAUCACAUGGUCAGGGGUUAAGAGGUGAGUUACCCAACAAAAAGCCUACUUUAACCAACCUCUAAUCUAUACCUAAGACAUCCUUAAAGAAAAUACAAACACUAAGGAAAAAUACACAUUUGGCUUCAUCUAACACUUUGUCCUUGAAGGGGCAACAUCCAUCUUCAACAAUCUCCCCCUGUUUGAUGGUAGAUAAAUCCCCACAGCUCAAUUGCUUUAAGAAGAGAACAACACCUGUACUGCAUCAAACACCAAACUACAAAAGUUGAAACAAUUCAUAACAUGAAUAAGUUUUAAGGUGCAGAUUGUAACUCCCUGUAUCACCUAACACGGUGAGCCAUUUUUCUCCCCCUUUGGAUUCUUCAAACAACAUCGAGAAAUAUAAAUCCAAAUAACAAUCAAACAUAACAAUCCAGAAAACAUUACAGAUUGUUCAACAGAAACAGAAUGCAAAAGCAUAAACUAGGCAAAAGAUAAGCAUAGAAACAAGGCACUUCUAAUCCUUGUAGUACAGUUAUGCCAACUGCACUUGAACACCCUCAAUCUGAUCAUCAAGAUGCUGGAACCUGGCUUGAGUUGUCUCGAAAUAGACCCUCUGUUCCUCUGACACGACAUCAAGACGAUACAGAACCUGCCUCUCAAACAUGGACAUGGGUUCAACUUUGUAUUCUGGAGCUUGAUAGGCAACAAGAGCAUUUUGGGGAGUUUCAGCAGCAUCUUCAUUCAUUGACUGUGGUGCAGGUGAAUCUCCUCUGAUUUCUGUAGAUGGAGAACUCAUUCUUUGACUCCUAGCAUGAUCAGUAGGUGAUUCUUCUCUGUAUGAGUGAUGGAUUACAUAGCAAGACUGUUCCGCAGCUUGAACAGUAUCAUCUUCCAUAGGAACAACAUCAUCUUCAUCUUCAUUGUUGAGAUUUGAGGCUUCACGUUCCUCUCUGUGAGUCCUGCUUUUGUGAAACACCCAGCAGCCUUCCACUUUGUGAAACCCCAUCUUAAUGAGAGGGACAUUUUCAAUCUCACUCACAGCCUUGAUAGUCUCGUUCCUCUCAUUAGAAGUAUCAACACCAAAAUAGUCAAUCAAUUUUGAAACAAGGAUAGCAUAAGGAAAUCGAUAAUCAGCUAACCUUUUGGAUUUUUUUCAGCAUAUGUUCCAUUAUAAUGUAAACCCAGUUAACUUUGAUCAUGUUCAUAAUGAAAUAUAGUAGGAUUAAAUCUUCCUCAUGCAACACAACAUGAUUUGUCCCUCUAGGAAUGAGUUGCCAUGCAAUGAUAUAUGCAAGUAAUCUUGGGGUUAAAUUCAGGUUACCUGCAUGGAACCUGUUCACACUUAGGGAUGGAUCUCUUACACAGCUUCGAUAGUACUGAAUAUUGUUAAAUUCCUGAAUCCCAUUUGUAUUUCCUUUGCCAACCUUCAAACCAACAUACUUGAUUCCAGCCACUAAAUUCCAUACUUCAUUGGUGACUUUCAUCUUAAUCCCUUUCACGUAGGACACCAGAUUUUUCCCAUCCUGAGUCAGAUUGGUGUAAAACACCUUCACUAGAUCAAGGUAUACAUUACCACUCAUUUCAAGAAGCUGCUUCAACCUUUGAUGCUUCAAAGCAUAUCUGAUUUCAGCCAGAUUCUCUGUUUUCAGUCAAGAGAACUCUAGAACUUUAGGAAUGUUGAUUUGCUUUCUACUCAUCUCAUGGAUGUAGGCGGUUAUCCCCUCAUCAUCUCCAACAAACCAGUUUUCCAAUACUCCUUGAAAGUUAUUUUUCUUGUUCUGUUGCUUUUUUUUUUGACGUGAUGAAGAAGCCAUGAUUGAACCAGAGUUGGGUCUGGAAACACAACUUGAACCAAAUUAGUGCAUAGUAAUAAGCAUACAGUACGAAAUCACCAAAGAGAGAACAUUACCUUUUGAUUCAAAUGAUGAGCAGUCAAUGUGAGUAACACUUUUACACAGAUUUAUAUUGGAAAAUAGAAAUAGGUUGAUGAUGUUGAACCUUGUGAUGUUCAAUGUUUUGAAGAAUCCAAAUCUUUUGAAGGAUGUUGAAGCCUCUGCUUUACUUGAUGUUGCUGUGCUGGUUUAAGCUUUGUUCUGGGGUAGUUUAUAUGUUGUAAUCCACCUUUGUAUUAAAUCUCAAGCAAUUAGCAUCUCAAUCCUUAUCAAAGUAAAAUGUUUUUCAAACUAAGUUGAAACAAUCGAUUGUUUUGUCGAAACAACCGAUUGUUUAUACUUAGGUGUUUUGAGAAAGAUUGAAAACUGUUUUUGAAUGGUUGAAAUUGUUAAGUACCAAAACAACCGAUUGAUUCGAGGAAACAACCGAUUGUUUGUUUUGGAACCAUAACAGAAAAACUGUUUUGUGUUUGACUGAGCUUUAAAUGAUUUAACUAAAUACGCUCCAGUCAUUAAAUACUUUGACCAAUCUUUUAAAGCAAUUUAAGAGUUUGUUAAGAUUUGAUAACAAACUAUAUCUUUGUAUAAAUUCAGAAAAACAGAUUUGAGAAAAAAAGGAAUCUUUUGNNNNNNNNNNNNNNNNNNNNNNNNNNNNNNNNNNNNNNNNNNNNNNNNNNNNNNNNNNNNNNNNNNNNNNNNNNNNNNNNNNNNNNNNNNNNNNNNNNNNUGAGAUUGCUUAAGAAUUUGUGAUUGAUCAAGGUGUUGGAAUAGGAUUCUACUUGUAUUGAUUUCAUAUAUUCAUCUGUAACAAGUGUAAUCUGUUGAACAAUUCGUUUCUGUGUUUUGCUGAGAUUGGCUGUGUGUUCUUGAGGUGUUCAAGAUCAACAAUCUUAGUGUUGGCCAAGGAGAGUGUGUUUCUUGAGGUGUUCAAGGUCAUUCUCUUGGUUGUUGUGUAAGUGAUCAAGGUGUGAUUACUUAGUGUAUUUCCUCAGGGUUCUGAGAAGACUGGAUGUAGCUCUGGAUUUGGAGUGAACCAGUAUAAACAACUGUGUACAAUUUCUCUAUCCCUAUCUCUUUAAAUUCAGUUUUGUCUUUUUGAAACUGGUAUAAACAACCGAUUGUUUCGCUAAAACAAUCGAUUGUUUUUCCAUCUUUGUGCUUUUGUUGUUUGUUUUGAAAAACUGAAUCCUUAAUCAAGGUUCUUUUGAAGAAUUUUCAUUCUAAGGUUAAAAUUUUACAAAAAUCUUUCUUAAACAAUUCACCCCCCUCUCGUUUAAGGCCAUAUAUUCUAACAGAUGAAGCAGUUAAGAGCAGAUAUGCACGAGGAUUUUAUUCCUUGUAUAUGUGCAGAGAAUCUUUGAAAAGGGGCAACUAAUAUUUUGAAUCACGAUGCAUGCAUAUCACACCACAAUUUAACUAGCAAAUGCAUCAAAUCAGUUACAAAACCAUGACCAAAAUCGUCAAAGAUUUAGUGGUUAAUACCCACUAAGUCAGUCAAUCAGUCAAAGAUCAGAUGUUAAAUUUUCUCUUUCUUAGUCAUCAAUGUAUACCAGUAUCUGACAAAAAAUAAACACGUUUAAUUGCGAAUAAAUAGAUUUAAUUUUUCACUGCAGAGCACAAUUAACAUUUAUAAUACCCAAUUCAUUCAGCAGGAAAUUAAAUCUAUCUUUGGCCACGGGUUUUGUAAACAAAUCUGCAAGCUGUAAAUCAGUACUAAUGAACUUAAUCUCACAGGUUCCAUUUGAUAUGUGUUCUCUUAGAAAGUGAUGUCUUAUUUCAAUGUGUUUUUUCCUUGAAUGCAUAAUAGGAUUUUUAGUUAAAUUGAUGGCAUUUGUGUUAUCACAUAGCAAAGGUAUAUUGUUAAGUAAGAUACCAAAGUCAUUAAAUUGCUGCCUUAGCCAUAUGGUUUAAGUACAACAACUCCCCGUUGUAAUGUACUCUGCUUCAGCAGUAGAGAGAGCAACACACGCUUGCUUUUUGCAUUGCCAUGAGAUCAAGCUUGAUCCAAGCAAGUGAUAGGCACCUCUGAUGCUCUUCCUAUCAAUCUUGCAACCUGCAAAGUCUGAAUCAGAGUAGCCAGUCAAACUUAAUGAAAUGUUACCUGGAUACCACAAGCCAACUUCUUUUGUUCCUUGCAAAUAUUUCAGAAUCCUUUUAGCAGCAUUGAAAUGUGAUUCUUUUGGAGCAGAUUGGAAACGAGCAAACAUGCACACUGCAAACAUUAUUUCAGGUCUGCUGGAAGUGAGAUACAAUAAGGAUCCUAUAAGACCUCUGUACUUAGUCUCAUCCACAGGAUUUCCAGAAGUAUCAUGAUCCAAAUGACAGCUUGUUGAGAAAGAUGUGCUGAUUGGUUUGCACUUGUCCAUACCAAAUUUUCUCAGCAGAUCUUUGCAAUACUUAGCUUGAUUUAAGAUUAUGCCAUCCUUGAGUUGUUUGACCUGCAAGCCUAGAAAAUAAUUCAACUCACCCAUCAUAGACAUUUCAAACUCACUCUUCAUGAUUUCCACAAAAGUUUCACACAAUUCUCCAAUGUUUGAUCCAAAUAUGAUAUCAUCCACAUAGACUUGCACUAGAAUUGUGCCAUCCUCUUUCUUCUUAAUGAACAAGGUUUUAUCUGAUGUGCCUCUGUCAUAGCCUUGUGAGGUAAGGAAAUCAGUUAACCUCUCAUACCAUUGCCUAGGAGCUUGCUUAAGCCCAUAGAGAGCUUUCUUGAGUUUGAACACAUGUCCUGGAUGUUGAUGGUCUUCAAAUCCUGGUGGUUGUGAAACAAAUACUUCUUCAUUUAUAUAACCAUUCAAGAAGGCACUCUUCACAUCCAUUUGGAAUAGCUUGAAUCCUUUGAUGCAGGAGAAGGCAAUGAGCAGUCUGACAGCUUCAAGCCGAGCCACUGGUGCAUAUGUUUCAUCAUAGUCUAUUCCCUCUUCUUGAUUAUACCCUUUAGCCACUAGUAUAGCCUUAUUUCUGGUAAUCAACCCAUGCUCAUCCAUCUUGUUUCUGAAUACCCACUUUGUUCCAAUGAUGUUCAUUUAAGGUAUUCUAGGAACAAGAGUCCAUACCUCAUUCAGAGCAAAUUGAUUCAGUUCCUCUUGCAUAGCCAGAAUCCAGUUACUGUCCUUGAGUGCUUCAUUCAGAUUUUUAGGCUCCACUUGAGAUACAAAGGCCAUUAUCUCACAGAAAUUACUCAGAGACUUCCUAGUUGAAACUCCUUUCUCAAUAUUCCCAAUGACAUUAUCAAGGGUUAGAUCUCUUGGAGUUUUCCAUUCUUUUGGCAAACCUGCAGAAAUAGUAGGUUCUUGGACAACAUGUGAGUCAGCAGUAUCAAUAUGAAUCAAUUCAUUUUUAUUUAAAACAGAUUUUAAAUCAUCACAUUCCAGGUCAUCUAUAACAGUUUUAGGUAUGCUAUGAUCAGUUUCAUCAAAUACAACAUGCAUUGAUUCUUCUACUGUGAGCAAUCUUUUAUUGAAGACCCUAUAUGCACGACCAUUCAAAGUGAUCCGGUCGGUCAUCGGUAGUCGGUGACAUCAGCAAAGGAUGGCCACGUGGACCGUUCUUAGUGGAACACGUGGGCCAGGGAAGUAGAUGUGUCAUUGAGAGAGUCACCAAGGGUGGUGAUCGGUGAUCAGGGGGCGGUGGUCAGAGAGGAUGCGCGAUCAACGCCUAGAUAAGCGCCUGGAAGCAGAAGGCGUGGCGCUAUGGGGCACCGAUCGGUCAUCUGGGUGAGCGAUGAUCGAUCGGGGUUUCGUGUUACGCACAGUUAAGCUAGAAACGAAGGGUGGUUCCCAGCGAAAGCGUUGCAUACGAGCCUUGUGUGGCAGAGUAUCAGAGAAAGGAGAAGUUAUGUGCUUUGUAGUGCCGUGCACGAGAGUGGCCUAAGAGAGCUAGUAAGCCAGUCGGUGAUUGGUGUUCUCUUAACCCAUAACGUGCAUGGUGCAAAGCAGAGGUGAUCGUUCACACAGUAGGUGAUGCCUAGUGUGUGCGCUUAGCCAAGCCACACUUGGUAUUCACACUGAGGUUGCACGAACCACCUAGUUGAAGAAACGCGCUAAGUUACUUCGUNNNNNNNNNNNNNNNNNNNNNNNNNNNNNNNNNNNNNNNNNNNNNNNNNNNNNNNNNNNNNNNNNNNNNNNNNNNNNNNNNNNNNNNNNNNNNNNNNNNNAUGACGUAAAGGUAUGUUCAGAUUUCAUACAAUAAAAGCAAGUAACAUGAGAUGCCUUUUUGCCACUGUUAAAGGAUGAAAAACCUGUUUUUGCUGGAACAAAAAAACUUGAAAGCUUUUUAACAUUGGUUACAUUUCCAGGGUUAUAACCAAUUCCAUUUUUGUUAAAAACAACAUUCUGUGAACCUAGAAGAGACUCAAGAUUCUCUCUUCCCUUAGUGAAAUUAGACAGGGUUUUCAACAAAUACUCCACUUGUUUUUCCAACUUUUUACAGUUUUCACAGGUUUUUAGACAAGCAUGCAAGCAUGUUAAUUCAAGACUUACAAGAUCAGUUUUAGCCUUAUGCAGUUCUUCCUCAAGUGAUUUUACUUUAGGUGCAAGCACAUUAUUUACCUUUUGCAACUUACUGCAUAUUACAACCAAUCUAUUUGCCUCAUCAUGUGUUUCUUUGAAAGCAGCAAGCAAUUGAUCAUAAUUGUCAGAUUCCAUAGAGAAUUCACUCACUGAAUCAGAGAUUGAUCCUUCAUCUUUUAUCAUGAAGCACAGAUUGGUUUCUUCACUUUCAGUUGAAGAGCUACUUGUUGAAGACACUUCAUUCUCUUCCCAAGAGAUGUAAGCUCUUAUCCCCUUGCUCCUUUCAACCUUCUUGCUGGCUGAUUUGUCCUUUGAUUGAUUGUUUGGACAGUCCAUCUUGAUAUGCUCUGUUUUACCACAACCAAAGCAAGUGUAGUUAGAGGAAUUUGAUUCAUUCAAUUUAGGAUACCUUCUUUUCUGUUGGUUCCUAUCUCUGCUUUUCUUCUUUAGGAAUCUACUGAACCUUUUUGUGAGUAGGAUGAUUGUUUCAUCAUGUUCAACAUCUUCUUUCUUCUCAUUGAUGUCACUCUGUGCACUUGCUUUCAGUGCAAGUCCCUUGGGUUUCCUUUCCACUAUUUCUUACUCUUUUUUGAGCCUUUUGAGCUCCAACUCAUGCUCCAUUAAUUUCCCAAAUAGUGCAGCAGUGGACAACUUUGACAGAUCACGACUUUCUGAUAUGGCAAUCACUUUAGGUUGCUAGCUUCUAUCAAGGCACUUCAACACUUUUAUGUUAAGUUCCUCUUUGUCAAAUACCUUUCCCAGUCCAGUAAGAUGAUUCACAAUGUGGGUGAACCUUUUCUGUACAUCAACAAUGUUCUCUUCAUGUUGCAUCCUGAAUAGUUCAUACUCUUGGAUGAAAGAGUGUUUUCUUGAUCUCUUCACAUCCUCAGUGCCUUCAUGAGUAACUUUCAAGACUUCCCACAUCUCCUUAGCUGAAUUUGAUCCGGUCGGUCAUUGGUAGUCGAUGACGUCAGCAGAAGAUGACCACGUAGACCACUCGCAGGGUGACACGUGGAUCAGGUGGCAGAGAAAUCAGGGAGGAGAUCACCCAGUACGGUGAUCGAUGGUUAGUAACUGAGUGGCCACCGACAGAUCAGUUCCAAGAUAAACACCCGGGGGAGAACGCGAGAAGCAAUAGAGCACCGAUCAGUCAUCGGGUGCAUGGUCAUCGGGGUCUCGUGUUACACGCAGUUAAACUGGGUCUGAGAUUCCCAGCGAGAGCGUUACGCAUGGACCUCGCAUGAUCAUACCUCAGAGAAAGAAGAGCUCCUCGUCGGUAUAGUCGUGCACGAGAGUGGCCUGAGGGAGUUAGUAAAUCGGUCAGGGAUUGGUUACUCUCUCAACCCAUUACGUGCAUGGCAUCGUGAAGGGGAAAUCGUGUAUGCAAAGAGCAAUGCUUGGUGAGUGUGCCUAGUCCAGCCACACCUGGCGUUCUCCUGAGAAUGAGCGAUUCACUCAGAUGGAAGAAACGCGCUAAGUUACUCCGCAAGGGAAUAACUUAGGCGCACAAAGAGAUGCGCUAGAGCCCUUCAGGUGGUGGCAUGUGUACGGUUAGAUGUGAGUUGCAUGCCUCCACGUGUCGCUGUCUGAGAGGGGCGCGACCCAGAUAAAGGUGCACUCCGUGUCGUGAAAGGUACAGACAGAAAACCCAGACACCCACGACCCUAACUGUGGUACGUUUUCGUACAAAAGCAUAACAGAAUUCUGACACACGCAGAGAACAGCGUAACAGAAUUCUAUUAGGCACAGACACAGAGGGAGAUAAAAAGGGAAUUAGAGAGAAAUACAGACACACUUUUUUACAAACAUUUUUUUUUAGUGAUUCUGUGAUCUAACUUGAGCGUCGGAGUGCAAACGGCCGCUAGAGGCGCUGUCUGUGUGUUUGCAGGUUGCGUUCGGAGUUCCCAGAGGAGGAGGUUCUAAGAGUAUUCUUGCAGAUAGCACAGUUGCCAUAGGCGGGGCAAGGAAGCGACAAGGCAAUUCCUCCACGCUCGAGUUGUUGUGUACCGCCCUGGUAGUCGGGAGUAAUGACGUGGCGUCGAGCUAUUAUGUAGGCGUGUUGGAUGGGACACCUAGUUAGCAGAAGGGAAGGAGGUCGGGGGGUUUGCGUAGUCGCCAGUUAUUAAGUUGGCGUGCUCCGAUCUCCAGCACACCAGAGCCGGCGGUCACCGGGUUAAAGAUGAAGUCGCCAGAUGUAAACCCAGGCGACCAAGUGAUUAGAGAUCGCUGAAACAAGGACAUCACCGAAGAUGAAGGCAGAUAGACAUUUCCCAGCUGGCCAGAGGAUGAGGUCGGGGGACAACUUGCUUGAGCAUACACGGUGAAACAGGUGGUGCAGAUCAUGAAGGCGGCCGGCGAGACCACAGGGAAGGUGUGUACGAAGGCACCUUAACUCGCCAAUCCAGAAGAGAUCGCGCUCCAAAACAACUAUGCACUGAGUAGUAUCAUGCAUAAGUAACUUAGCCAAAGGAGAGUCAGAAGUAGCGCCCAAGUCAAGGAUGCUCCAGAUGAUGGCACGUGUACAGCUGGAUGCGAGCCACGUGUCUAGAUGUGUAACUGCCAGGAGAGAGAAAGUGUCUAGGUAUAUAAGAGUUUCCAACGAACUUCUGAGGUACGCACGUUCAGAUUGUCUUCUUUACGCUUGUGAGUUCUUGAGUAUACUGAGAGAGAACUGGUUCACGGUUCCUUAGAGUUCUUGAGUGUUACUCUUAGUAAUUGGUGGUUCAGUCGCUGACUUGGGCGUUGGAGUGCAAUCGGCCGCAGCGGCGCCGUUUCAUCUUUUGCAGGUUCUUGAGGUGGAUCACGACGGAGGACGGAGGCAAACACGGCGCAUACGUCGAUCCAAGUUUAACGAGGCAAAGCUCCAGCGUUUUGGAUUUACAGGCAGGAUCAUCAGGCGCCCACCGUGGGGCCGUGUAAAACCUGUUCCCAUCCACAGCGUGAGUUCUUGGAGGUUUUUGCAGUUUUCUGUGUGGUUGUGUGUUGGUGCAACCAUUGUCCGCUGUUCAUCUAGGUUUUGUUCGGUAAUUUCGCGUUGUCCACCGUCCGUUUGGGUUUUUGUUCGGUGAGGUGAAGUUUUAUGCUGCUUACGCGAGAUUUGUUCUGUGAGAUAUGAGUUUUUUGGCUCGUUUGGAUUUCUCGUGGAAGAAGCGUUGGUUUUUGGUGGAGUUGUGGGUUUCGGUGGAGGUUUUCUGUGUUCUUGAGGUUUCUUUCGAAGUUUCGCAAAGUUCUGACCGAUUGAUCGCUGAAUCGAUCGUCGCUGAAGAAGGUGUUGUUCAUUGCACUCUGUGAUUCGUCAAGUUUUCAUGAGAAAAAUGAGAAGCAACCGUUCAAGUCCAGUUGCGCCCGUUGCUGCUGAAGGCGCCAUGACUAUGGCGCAGAUGGUGGAAAUUAUGCGUUCGUUGCAGGAGAAUGUGGAAGCCUCGCGCAUAGAGCAGGCAAGAAUGCACGAGGACCUGGUCGCCUCUCGGGCCAGGAAUGAUGAGCUUAGCAGAGUGACUGAAGAACUGCGUCAAGCUCUUCAGGAGCAGCGAGGGCGUCCAGUCGCUGAAGANNNNNNNNNNNNNNNNNNNNNNNNNNNNNNNNNNNNNNNNNNNNNNNNNNNNNNNNNNNNNNNNNNNNNNNNNNNNNNNNNNNNNNNNNNNNNNNNNNNNNNNNNNNNNNNNNNNNNNNNNNNNNNNNNNNNNNNNNNNNNNNNNNNNNNNNNNNNNNNNNNNNNNGGGUCAGAUGCCGUGUACUGCAAGAUGUUUGUGAGCACACUCCAGGGACCGGCGCUGGAAUGGUUUGUGAGCCUGCCUACAGGUCACAUAACCAACUUCCAACAGUUUUCGAAGAUCUUCGUCGAGCAGUACAUCGUGAACAAGGCACCGCCCAGGGUGUCUUAUGAUUUGUUUGACAUAAGGCAGUAUCAGGGAGAGUCCCUCAGGGACUACCUGAAUCGUUUUGGGGCGCAGAUGGUCCGAUCGCCUGCCAAAGAUGAAGAGAUGCUGGUCUACGCAUUCAAGAAGGGCGUGCUGCCGGGACCAUUCUGCGAGGCAUUGAUCAGGGCUCACCCUGCCACGUUUGCUGAAGUCAGGCGACUUGCGGUGGCCCACAUCGCCGAUGAGAGUGAAGUCGCCGAGAAGAGGGGAAGCGUGGCUCCCGUCAGGCCACGUGCCCAGACUAGGAUCCAGCCACAGAGGGUGCUGGAGAUAGCGGCGGCCAGGAGGGAUCAGAAGACUCGCCAUCCUUAUGAUCCAAGGAAGAACAAGGGCAGGGGCCCAGGGUGCCCUCAACCAGCACGCCGGGAGUACAAUCGCCCGCCAAAGCACAAGUUUGUCAUGGGAUUGGCGGACCUGAUCGCCAUUCCCAAUAUAUCAGCUAGGUUGAAAGCGCCCGAGAAGGUGGGUGACAAGGUGCUGGGACCAAAGCCAGACGCCUGGUGUGAGUUUCACCAGGGCUUUGGCCACACCGUGGAUUCGUGCUUGGCUUUAGGAUACCAGCUCGACGAUCUGGUCAAGAGCGGGUUCCUAAAUGACUACUUGCGCGUCGAGCUCCCAACCAGCAGGUGGAGAGGCCCAGCAGCACGAGAUGCCUACACACGGGGAAAUCCACACCAUUGCAGGGGGUUUCUCGGGUGGUGGAUGCACCGCGUCACAAAGAAAGAAGUACGCGAGGUCUGUGAUGACGGUGGAUAUAUUUGAAGACCACUCGCCGGAUGUGGACAUUACGUUCACAAAGCAAGAUCUUCGGGACGUUGUGCCUCAUGACAACGACCCCAUAGUCAUCUCGCUGAUCACAGCAGGAAGGAAGGUCCACAGGGUUCUGGUGGACCAAGGAAGCUCGGCAGACGUGAUGUUCUGGCCGACUUUCACACAGUUGGAGCUACCCCUUGACCAGCUGAGGCCCUAUGGAGGGUGUUUGUAUGGUUUCGCUGGCGACCAGGUAGAGGUCAGGGGGUACAUAGAGCUGAGGACUACGUUUACAGAUGAGGCGGGCUCGAGAACAGAGAAAAUUAAAUACCUUGUCGUAAACGCUCCUUCAGCCUACAACAUUCUGCUGGGAAGACCCACGCUCAACAGAAUAGGCGCUAUACCGUCGACCCGGCACAUGAAGGUGAAGUUGCCAUCUAUGGAGGGGGUGGUGAUCACCAUCAAAUCCGACCAGAAAGAAGCGAAGAAGUGCUAUGAGAAUAGCCUGAAGAACAAGAGGUCGGUCAGUUACGUAACAACCACCCCGCCUCCUGGUGUGAAGCCCAGAUCGACGGUAAUAGAAGAGACCGCCGGAAGAGAUGUGGUGAUGGUGGAUGCUGAGCUGGGGGAGGGGAACGCCGGUUUAGAGGAAGAAGAGGCAAGGAAUCGCCCUGAGGAAGCGAGGGAGCUGGGAAUCGCCAGUGCGGUGAUCGCCAGAGAAACCAGGCCAAAACCCGUCGAGCAGUGGCUCGAGAGAGAGAUCGGAGGAAAGAUCUUCAAGCUGGGAAGAUCUCUGGAGGUCGAGCUCCAGGACCAGAUCGCCAAGGUGAUAGAGCGGCAUCUGGAUGCGUUUGCAUGGUUCGCUUCGGACAUGCCCGGGAUCGAUCCCGAUUUCUUGUGCCAUCAUUUGGCGAUGGACAACCAGGUGAGACCACUACGACAGAGGAGAAGGAAGUUCAACGAGGAGAGGAGGCAGACGAUUAGAGACGAAACCCAGAAGCUCCUCGCUGCAGGCCACAUCAGGGAAGUCCAGUACCCUGAAUUGCUGGCAAAUGUCGUACUGGUGAAGAAAAGUAAUGGGAAAUGGCGCAUGUGCGUCGAUUUCACUGAUCUGAAUAAGGCUUGCCCAAAGGACUCGUAUCCUUUACCAAGCAUAGACGCCCUGGUGGAUAGUGCUGCAGGGUGUAAGUUGUUGAGUUUCCUGGAUGCCUUCUCGGGGUAUAACCAGAUCAAGAUGCAUCCCAUGGAUGAAGAGAAGACUGCCUUCAUGACCGAGAGAUCGUGCUACUGCUACAAGGUGAUGCCGUUUGGGCUGAAGAACGCGGGGGCCACGUACCAGAGGUUGAUGGAUCGGGUACUUGCACCAAUGCUGGGAAGGAAUGUGCAAGCAUACGUGGACGACAUGGUCGUGACCUCGCCAGAGAAAAGCAAGCACGUCGCGGACUUGGAGGAGUUGUUCACUACGAUCGCCAAGUUUAGGUUGAAGCUGAAUCCUGAGAAGUGCAUCUUUGGCGUGGAGGCUGGAAAGUUCUUGGGUUUCCUCUUAAUCGAAAGAGGAAUAGAAGCCAACCCUGACAAGUGUGCCGCCAUUUUGGCGAUGAGGAGCCCGGCCACCGUGAAGGAAGUACAACAGCUUACGGGUCGGAUGGUCGCCCUGUCUCGCUUCGUGUCGGCUAGCGGAGAGAAGGGCCAUCCAUAUUUCCAGUGUUUAAGGCGCAAUAACAAAUUUGCCUGGACGAAGGAGUGUGAGGAAGCCUUCGUCAAGCUUAAGGAAUAUCUGGCGAGCCCGCCGGUUUUGUGCAAACCGUUGGUGGGAACCCCUCUCAGGUUGUAUUUUGCUGUAACUGAGAGGGCGGUGAGCGCGGUGCUCGCCCAGGACCAAGAUCAGGCUCAAAAGCCUAUUUAUUUUGUUAGUAAGGUGCUGCAGGGCCCCGAAACGAGGUAUCAGGCCCUGGAGAAGGCUGCACUGGCUGUGGUAUUUUCGGCGAGGAGGUUGCGCCACUAUUUCCACAGUUUUACGAUACUGGUGAUGACCGACUUGCUCAUCCAGAAGGUCUUGAAGAAGCUUGACGUUGCUGGGAGGAUGGUGAAGUGGGCAGUGGAGCUGUCGGAGUUUGAUAUUAAGUAUGAACCCCGAGGUCCGAUCAAGGGACAGAUCUUUGCAGAUUUCGUGGUCGAGCUCUCGUCUGAAGCAGCACGAGUUGAGGGGGAUGACUUCCGUUGGGUGCUUUCAGUGGACGGAUCGUCGAACCAGUAGGGUAGUGGUGCUGGAGUCAUCUUGGAGGGACCCAACGGCGUGCUGAUCGAACAAUCUUUGAGGUUUGCCUUCAAAGCCAGCAACAAUCAAGCAGAAUAUGAGGCGCUGAUCGCCGGUAUCUUGUUGGCUAAAGAGAUGGGAGCUAGGGUGCUGAUGGCCAAGAGUGACUCGCUGCUAGUCACGGGGCAAGUAACAGGCGAGUUCCAGGCUAAAGAUCCACAAAUGGCGGCUUACCUGGAGUAUGUACAGGAAUUGAAGAGUUCCUUUGUCUCCUUUGAAGUGGUACAUGUGCCCAGGGAGCAGAAUGCCCGAGCUGACUUGCUAGCUAAGCUCGCCAGUUCAGGCAAGGGGGGUAGGCAGAGGACGGUGAUUCAAGAAACUCUGAAGACGCCGAGAGCAUUUGUAGCAGAUCACCUGGUUCUUCAGAUAAGCAAGUCGACGAAGAAAGCGGCGAGGAGUCACAGAUCCCUGACUCAAGAGACUUUGAGGUCGCCAAGGAUAAGAGCAUGUCGGGGAGAGAAGGUGAACAUGACGCAGGUCUGCACGACCCAUGAGCCAGACACCUGGGUAACACAGUACAAGUGGUGCCUGGCGGAUGGCCUUCUCCCGCUGGAUCCGACAGAGGCCAGGAAGAUAAAGAAGAAUUCUAGCAAGUUCACAAUGAUUGAUGGUGAGUUGUACAGGUUUGGGUUCAGUCACCCACUCCUGGAGUGUGUGCACGGGGAAAAAUGUACAAGAAUUAUGGCAGAGCUCCAUGAAGGGAUAUGCGGAAGCCACGUCGGGGGUCGAGCUCUGGCCGCAAGGACUNNNNNNNNNNNNNNNNNNNNNNNNNNNNNNNNNNNNNNNNNNNNNNNNNNNNNNNNNNNNNNNNNNNNNNNNNNNNNNNNNNNNNNNNNNNNNNNNNNNNAGAUUGCAAGAGGUACGCGCAGUGCUGCAAACAAUGCUAGCAGCACGCCGAUUGGCACAAGGCGCCUCCCGAGGAGUUGAAGUCGAUUUACAGCCCUUGGCCGUUUCAUACAUGGGGAAUCGACAUCCUGGGACCAUUCCCGCUGGCGAUCAGGCAGAUGAAGUACUUGGUGGUGGCAAUCGAAUAUUUCACCAAGUGGAUCGAAGCAGAACCAGUGACCCAGAUCACCGCACACAAGAUCGAAGGUUUCGUGUGGAAGAACAUUGUGUGCCGGUUUGGUGUGCCCAAGCGCCUGGUGUCAGACAAUGGGACUCAGUUUGCAAGUCACCUGUUGAAGAAGCUGUGUGAAGGGGUGGGAAUUCAACAAGUGUUUGCAUCCGUCGAGCACCCUCAGACGAAUGGCCAAGUAGAGUCAGCCAAUCGGGUGUUGCUAAGAGGUUUGAAGAGAAGACUAGAGAAAGCCAAAGGAAGUUGGGCUGAGGAGGUACCCCGUAUAGUCUGGGCGUACCACACCACCGAGCAGUCAGGAACCCAUGAGACCCCGUUCAGCCUGGUCUAUGGAUGUGACGCAAUGAUUCCAGUAGAGAUCCAGGAGAGCUCGCCGAGAUUCCAAAACUUCGUGGAGGAAGACUGAAAUGAGGAGAGAAGGCUGAAUCUGGAUUUGCUGGAUGAGGUCAGGGAGGAGGCGAGAUUGAAAGCUGAGGCGGUGAAGAGAAGGAUUGAACGAAGAUAUAACUCGAAGGUGAUGCCAAGAUAGUUCAGAGAGGGCGACCUGGUGAUGAGGAAAACCCACCAGUACGAGAUGGAGAAUAAGCUGUCACCUAAGUGGACGGGACCGUUCAGAAUAACCGAGGUGCUCGGGAACGGCGCCUACCGCUUAGAAACAUUGGAAGGAGGGGCGAUUCCUCGCACUUGGAACGCCACGCACCUCAAGUUAUAUUACAGUUGAAAACUUUGUAAGUAAGAAAAACACGAGGAGCUUUACAAUGUUUCUGUUAAAACAGUUUUGAAGGGGGCACUCUUUUUUCCCUAAGGAGGGUUUUUAAUGAGGCCACCCAAUAAAGAAGAGUUUUCAAAGCUUAAAGUUGUUUUAGAUUGCAUGCUUGUUGUUUUCCGAAAGUUUUGAAGAAAGACCUUGUCACUUAUAUGUGAUUUAAGGCAAGUUAAAGANNNNNNNNNNNNNNNNNNNNNNNNNNNNNNNNNNNNNNNNNNNNNNNNNNNNNNNNNNNNNNNNNNNNNNNNNNNNNNNNNNNNNNNNNNNNNNNNNNNNNNNNNNNNNNNNNNNNNNNNNNNNNNNNNNNNNNNNNNNNNNNNNNNNNNNNNNNNNNNNNNNNNNNNNNNNNNNNNNNNNNNNNNNNNNNNNNNNNNNNNNNNNNNNNNNNNNNNNNNNNNNNNNNNNNNNNNNNNNNNNNNNNNNNNNNNNNNNNNNNNNNNNNNNNNNNNNNNNNNNNNNNNNNNNNNNNNNNNNNNNNNNNNNNNNNNNNNNNNNNNNNNNNNNNNNNNNNNNNNNNNNNNNNNNNNNNNNNNNNNNNNNNNNNNNNNNNNNNNNNNNNNNNNNNNNNNNNNNNNNNNNNNNNNNNNNNNNNNNNNNNNNNNNNNNNNNNNAAUGUAGAGGCACGAGAUAAAGACCUUCUCGCCGACGAGCGAGUUCAGGCGAGUUAAAGACUUUCUCGCCGACGAGCGAGUUCAGGCGAGUUAAAGACCUUCUCGCCGAUGAGCGAGUUCAGGCAAGAUAAAAUCCUUCUCGUCUCGAACGAGUUCAAGUAUGGUGUAAAGAGUGGAAGAAGUUUGGAGGGUGGCUAAGGUAGGUUCGAAGAGAACGCCUAGCCACCCGGUCUCUUGUUCUGAAGCUUAGGGAGGUAGAGAAGGAUCCGAAAGGCACCUCUACCCCCAGAUAAAGGAACAAUGGCCGAGUUGUGAAGGCAGGAGGAAGCUGAUAUCGCCAAGAGUCUUUGGCGACCAGGGGAAAUUUAAGCAAUAGCGAGAAAGUCAAGACCCGUUUUGAUAAGGCAGAUCAGAUGAGCGGUGUCUUAAGCCAUUAGUUGAGUAGAAGUUCGUUAGUUGAAGUUGAGUUAAGGUUCAUUACUUUGAGGUUACAAGUCGUUAGAGUGUUAUUGUUCGGAAGUCGGUGGUUCGAAGCAGUUAAGUAUACAAUUGCGCUUACGAAGUUACUAAGUUAAUUUCUUUGAAGUAAAUUAUACAAAGAAGAGAUAACGCAGACAGAGAAGUUAUAAGAAGAAGUACAAAGACUUUAUCAUAAAGUACGAUCAGUUCAAGGUACAUAUACAGAAAAAGGGAAAGUCUAUUACAAUUAUGUGUAAGGAAAAAGCAUAAGAAUCGUGGAUGGAGGGAAGCAAUCAGUCUUCAGAAGGAACAACCUUCCCGUCCACCACCUCGUUGGUGAGAGACACCAUGGAAAGGUCCAAGUCGGGGUACAAGCAGGCGAACUCUUCCCGGGCGGCCUCGAAUCCAGCAGCGAGAAUCUGGGCAGAGCUCAGCUCAAGUUCUUCAAUCUGUUUCUUUAGCCCCUCGUUCUGCUGCUUCAGCUCUUCAACUUGUUUCUUGAGUUCUUCAAUUGUUUCCCGAGCUUGAAGAAGGUCUUCAGUAACCUUCUUGGAUUCCGCCUGCACCUGGGCCAGCUCUGCGGCGAUCUUCCCGUUUUCUUCGUUGGCUUCGGUGAGCUUGGCCAUGGUGUCGUCUCUCUCCUUCUCCACCUUCCCCAAGAAGACCUCCCGAUCGGCUGACCUUUUCUCGAGGUUCUUUACCUUGGCGGCGUCUGCUUUGAUCAACGCCUCCAGGUCAGCCACUUUGACGCGAUAGGGUACAAGCUUGCUCUCCAGCUCGAUCUUCUCUUGAGCCAAGAGCUGCACCUUAUGGCGUAGAUUGGUGGCCUCCUUGCGUGCCACCCGGAGCUCAGUGCUCAUAGCAUCUUCCACUCGGGAGUGAUCGAUCUCGGCGAGCGUUAGAUUGCAGGAUAACCUCUCCGCCUCAAUCCUUAUGGAGCGAUUCUCCGUUCGGAGUGUGAAGAUGUCAUCCUGGAGCUUCUUGGUGGAACUCUCCACAGCUUUGGAUAUGAUGGAGGGGAAAUCUUCCGCCAUCAUCUUCAGUUUUGCUGAGAAGGGCUCCCACACCCUCUGGACCUCAAGAGAGAGGUUUGCUUGUGGAGGCACCGGGGGGGGCUUGUUGUUGGUUCUCGCCGCCACCUUCUUGAAUCGGUUGUGGAAUGGGUGCUUCUUGGCGUGGUGGCGACGUCGGGGAUUCAGUGAUAAGGAUUGGAGAGUUGUGAGCACCUUCAUCCCCGACUGGUGCAGCGUUUGCGGUUGAGGCGUUUGAAGGAGGACCCCCUCCAGCUGAUACAUAAGGCGUGGAGGCACUCGGGGGGUUCUCCAUGAAGUUAGGCUCGACGGCCUCAACCACAGGAAGUGCGGACGCCAGAGGAACCGCUUGGACUGGCGAGGUGGGAGCUGGUGGAGGAAGCAGUGUUGGAGGCGGAGCGGGUGUGGAAGGUGGUGUUGAUGUUGGAGGAGGAGGUGGAGCAGAUGGUGAAGAAGGCGCCACCCUCUUCCUCUUGAUGAUGAGGCCAUCUUCAGUCGCCUCAUUGUCUUCUUCUUCUUCCUC